UUUUACCGGAUUCAUUUUGCACUGCAAAGGAUGGAAAUCCGUCUUUUGCAAUCCAUCACGGUCAGCAUUCUUAGGAAGUGCUACAUCAAGUUUGAAUGACACAUUGGUUCAAGGCACAAGAUGGAACUGCGGUUUGCUUGAAGUCACCUUCUCAAAGUGCUCCCCUCCUCUUUAUGGGCUAUCAAGAAUGCCUUUGCUUCAAACAAUGUGCUAUAGCUACUAUGCUUUGCAGCCAUUCUAUUCCUUGCCGUUGUGGUGUUUAGCUUCUGUGCCUCAGCUGUGUCUCAUAAAUGGAAUUUCCUUGUACCCAAAGGUAACCAUUUCUAAAACGAGAUUGGGAGGCAAUUUGGAGAUGCUUUGUCUUAUUGAUAGGUCUAAAACAUUGUAACUAUUUAUUUCUCUUCUACUCAGGUUUCAAGUCCAUGGUUUGUGAUCUUUUCAUCUAUUUUCUUAUGUUCACUACUGAAACAUUUGGUGGACGUUCUCGUCACCGGUGGUUCAGUCCAGACGUGGUGUAAUGAACAGAGGAUUUGGAUGAUAAAAUCACUCACUUGCUACACCUAUGGAACUAUAGAUGCCAUCUUGAAAUGUUUUGGAAUGAAACAACCAUGUUUCUCGCCCACAAAUAAAGUUUCCGAUGAUGAACAAGCCAAGUUACAUCAACUGGGUAAAUUCAACUUUCAAAUCCCAACCAAGUUUCUUGCUCCUUUAGUUUCCUUAAGUCAUUUUGAGUAUGAUUGCUUUUACUGGAGGAAUUACUAGAAUGGUGAUUUCGGGGGGCGCAAACGAGUUGCUUGGACAAGUUAUCCUCUCAUUUUACAUCUUACUGGAGAGUUACCCAAUAAUUGAAGGGAUGGCAUGGAGGAAGGAUACAGGGCUAGUCCCAGCUUCUGUUGCGUUACUCUCUUUUGUUCUCUCCAUCAUUUUCUUGCUUUUGGGUUCCGUGGUUCUCAGGUUAAUUUGAAUUGUGCUAGAGGUUCAGAAUAAAAGUGAAAGGUCACAAUUAUGUGCUUCAUUUUUGAAAUAGUUAAUGCCCCCAUUAACUUCUUAUUGCUUUCAAAUGAUGCCGAUAAAGGCAACAGCCCUGUUUCACAGGAUGACCUAAUAAGAACAAAAUUGCAAAAUACUGGCACCUAUUGCUUAAUUGAAGGUCCUUGCGCUUGUUCAUGACACACUUAAGCUCAUUGACUGGGGGCACAAGAAAUUUCGAUACCUUGCAUAUCACCACUUAAUUUUGUUAAUUCAAAUUAAUUCUUGUUCCUUAUGCUGAAGUGCAAACGAUUUAUAUUAACCAUUCAAUCAUUUUUCAUCUCUAAUUAAACCAUUUCACCAUUUCAUUUGGAAACAAUUUCACUUUAUAUUAACACCAAGUGCCCUUUUUUAUUCAAUUGAAUAUGCCACUCACAAUGCCCUUUCGUAAACAACCCAAUGCCCGAAAGAUUACAUCUCUCCUUGCUUCCAACGGAUUGCAGCAAGAGACCGAAGUUUUAGCCUCCUUACGAGCAUCAAACAAAAUGGGGUAAAGAGGCAAGCAACAAGCACAUCAUCUUAUCAACUUAAACAUAGUCAAGUCUUAAUUGCAUUACUAAAUCAUUAUCACAUGCCAUCACAUUACAUCUCUCCUUGCUUUCGAAAUCAGGUGGGUUUUUCGUAUCAAGCUGUUUCGGAAGAUUUCUUUAUAGGAUUCUGUAAGAGAGAUUGUAUCAUUUUUUAAGUUUGAAAUUUUGGAAGAAAACGGCUAUUGAAAUACUUCAUUUUAUUUUAUUUUAUUUUAAUAAUUAUGUUUAAACAUACCAAUUAAAAGAAAGUGUUAAGUGAUGCUAAUAUUAUCAUAUCGAAACAUCACGAUCUAUGCAAUUUAUUAAAUUUCAUCACUCAUACUCUUAAACUAAAUAUCAUCUCGGUCAAUAAAAUGAUGUCAAGUUAAACCUCUAUCUAUGUUAGGACAAUACAAUUUGUUAAUAUGGAAGAUCUAAAAGAGUGACGAUUGCUAUCAAUUAUGCCAUUACUGAAGUUAAAUCAUCAAAAGAAGUCUCGUUGUUCAAUUCCCUUUUCAUUAUUCUAAUCUAAGAAGCUCGAUCAAAAUUUAAUCCCUAUAUAUAAUAAAAAUAAAUCAAAAGUCUUAACAAAAUUUACAAUUGUAAGGUUCUCACGAUUAGGUUAGUCGUUUGUGUUACUCUUGUUCAGAACCUAAGGUCGUUUAAGCUUAUUUUAGGUAUAAGAUGUUUUAAGUCCCCUCCUUCCAGACUUGGGAAUCUUAGAAACAACAAAAUAUGAUAAUAUAAUUGAAAAUAAGGGAAUUGCUAAAAGAUUAGCCUCUUUUGAAUGGUUUGGUUCUCAAUACAAGAUGUGAAGAAUACCGUGGAUAAUUAUUUCAAAAUAGAGUGGAAGGGUCUGAAUAUAAUAAAAAAGUAACGCAAAGUUAUGCUUGCUACCAUAUUGGGUAGCAAAAGGAUGAUAACGAAAAUAUUUGGAUAGACACUAGAUAUAUAUGAUAUUUAUUCCUAUAUAAGAGACAAUUAAGUCUAGUAUGAAAGUUGGAACUGUAACUAUGGAACAUACAUGUGCCAUCAAAUUGAGGGCACAAUUUCUUACCACCAUUUUUAUCUUAGACAUUUGAAUAAAGAAAAAUUGUAUUUGAGUAUUAAGAAGACAUUGCAAAGAUAGAAAGGACAGCGUUAUAGCAUGAACAAUAACACUGUUUUUAUCUUCAUAGGCCAUGUUUGAAUGCUAGGAUUAAGUAAGAGAUUGAACUAAUUUUGAAAUUAAAUAUUUAUUUCAUAUUUGGCAAGCUGAGUUGGAUUGAACUAAGGAGGACUAAAUUUAAAUUUAGUCUUAAAAUCAUGGGAUUUGUAAUCUUAAUAUACUCAUGGAUUUAUUGGAAUAAAAUUAAGGGAAAAAAAGUUGUCCAUUUAUAAGAGUUUCAUUCAUAACAUUAUUUUUAUUUAUACCGAAUAUCAAUCAAUCAAUAAAAUAAUUAAUUAAUUUUUUAUUUAUGAUUUACUUAAAAUUUAUUUUUUAUUUAUUAUCUAUGAUCUAAUUAAAUUGGUACUUUUACUUCUACUAGAUUAAAUUUUCAUUACUUGCAUAUUUAAUAAUUUUUCUAUAAAAUUAACCACUUAAUAAUUUGUUGCAUUAUUGAUUGUAAUAAAUUUAAUAGUCACUAAUACAAUAUUAAAUUGAUGUUUUCACACUUUUAGUAGAUAAAUUAAAAAUUGUCUCAUGGUUUUGAUGAUGGCUUUCCUCAGUAGAUUAAUUUAUUAUUUAGUUUGCUUUUGAGUUUUAGUAUUUUUAAGUCUUUGUAGCUAAUUGACGUUCGCAAUAGAACUAGCAAUAAAUUAAACUAUUUAACAGAAAGAAGCAUAUCCUAUAAAAAAAAAAACAGAAAGAAGCAUAUAGUAUUCACAUCUUUAUCAAAUAUCAGAAUAAAUAAAUUAUUGUGGCGUAAAACUUCUGUACAAUUUCCAUCCAUCUUUUUCCUAAUCAAUAAUCACAAUGGACCAUGCAAAGAUUGAAAAGAAGCAACUUACUUCAAGAAUCUAGUACAAAAACUUGGGACAAAACAAAAUAAUUAUAAGAAUUCUAGAUAAGUUUAUAAUAUUGAGUUACAAUGUUUAUAACAAAAACACUUUAUUAUAUGGAAGUGGCAUAACUUAAAAGCACAUUUGUCAAACCAUCGAGAUUGCAAUAAUAAAAUACAUAAAGAUUAAAGUGGCAUUCAUACAAAGAUUCAUAAAAUUAAACAAUGACAGCCCUCUUUCAUGGAAUCUCGGGAGGAUGAAAACUGACUUUCGAAUUUCUUUGACUUUAGUUCGAAGUUCGGAUCCGGCGACUUCGGCAACGGCUCCGGCGGCGACGGCCAUGGCGGCGUCGGCCACAGCGGCGGCGAUGGCCACAGCGGCGGCGGCGGCGACGGCCACAGCGAAGGCGACGAGGGCAACGUCGGCGGCGACGACGGCAACGACAGCGGCGACGGCCGCGGCGGCCAUGCUAGCGACGGCUCUGGUGGCGGCGGCGGCGCAGUGGCAGCGGCAGCUGCGGCGACGGCAGCGAUGGCGGCGAUGGCGACGGCAGCGACAAUGGCCAUAAUGACGGCAACAACGGCAACAACGGCGGCGACAAUGACGGCGGCGACGGCAACAACGGCGGUGACAAUGACGGCGGCGGCAGCGACGACGGCUUCGGCAUACAUGGCCGCUGCCGAAGAUACAUAGCAGAAAAUCUUUAAAAGAUCAGUAUAACUCAUAUCAUGAAAUGAUCAUGUUCCAUUCAUGAAACCUCUAAGAAAUCAAGUUCAGAAUAAAAUAAAGGAUGUGUAAAACUUCAUGCAAUUUCCUCUGAUCUUUCUCAUAAUCAAAUAAUGUUGAUAAAUUUGUAUUUGUGAAUCGGAUAAUUCAGUGAUCCUAAAGAUUAAGAAAUUGUGUUAUUACCAACAGCAGUGUAUGAACAACUUGUUUUCUAAGUUAAAAAUAAAUUGUGUUCAUCGAAUUUAACCUUAUUUAUUUAUUAUAUUUUUCUACAAAUCUUUCUUGGCUUGAUUUUAAGGUUAAGGGCUAUGAAAUUUUGAUAGAAGGAUAAAUUAUCGUUUAGUCCCUAUAUCUUUUAAAAUGUUCAAGACUUUCCUAUUAGUAAUUAUGUUACAUCCUUGCCUUGUUUCUUUACUUUUAUAAUAAUACUCUUAUAAUAAUAUUAGGGACAUAAUGAAAAAAUAAAAUGUUAAUUUAAUAUUAAUAACAAAAAAAUUAUAUCCCUAAGAUUUGUUGCAAGGGUCUUUUGAAAAAGGAAAAAAAAAGUAAUGGUGAAGCAAUUGUAGGAACUAAACGGAUACUUAAUAAAAAUUAUUGAGAUUAAACGAACACUUAUCCUUGACAAAAUUAACUCUUCUUUGAUUCUUGGAAUUUUUAUUUGUCUCUUAUCUUUGAUAAAUGAUGAACACAAGGAAUAGAAAGUGUAUGCAAUACAUAUGAAAGAACAUGAAAAUUUUAGAAAAAUGAUGGUUUGAAAUUAAAUCCUCUGUUUUUUGUUUCAAAAUUUUAGAAGAAUGAUCUUGCAUAGUUUUUCGUCUUUCUUUUUUAUUUAACUAGGAAAUAGAACCGCACUUCGUGCGGCUUUAAAAAAAAAUUAGUAUUAUUUUUUAUUACUUUGUAAUUGAUGAAAUUGAUAAAAAAAUACGAAUUAUUUUUUUUAAAGAUGACGCAGUCUUAUAAAACUAAUGUUAUUUAUGAAAGUUAAUUAUUUUUUGUUAACAUUGAAAAUAUAUAUUAAUGUGUAUAGUUAAGUGUACACAACAUUUUCAUCAAUAAAAAUUAUGUUCACACUAAUCAACUCUCCAUUUUUCUUGAUAUUAACAGACUCUCACAUCUUAUAAAGUCUAACCUUUAUCAUCCAACUAUCUUUAUCAUUGUUUAACUCAUAAAGAAAAUAGUACUCCAUGAAGCAUACAAUACUAAAAAUUUAAAUAAGUCAAAAAAUAAAAACACAAGAACAUUUCUAAAGAGGAUGUUGGUUAAAUAAUAAAAAAAAUUCAAACAUAACAAAUCUUAAAUGCUUAAUAUUUAUAGAGCUUGAAGAAGCCAAAAGAUACUAAAUAAAAGGUUGCAUAAUUAAAUAUGGGAUUAUGACAUUAAAAUUAGGUCAUAGGGUAUUGGUGAGGGAAGAUGAAGGAAUAUUCCUUCCUAUAUUAAUUAGUUGAUGUAUUUUAAACCACUAAAGUUUAGUUGUUGGCUUAAUAAAAUAAAUGAAUGUUUCAAAACUUAUAAUUAAUUUAUUAUUAAUGGUUAUAUAUUGUUGAAUUUAAAUAGAAAGAGGAAGAGACAUGUAAUCUUUUGUAAUCUAUUAAUUAUUUUAUAUUUUUAAUAUUUUGUAAUGUAAUUAUUUUUUAAUUUCAACCAAUAUAUUAGAUAAUAGAAAAUAUAAAAAGAUGAGAAAUAAUAAUGCCACAAAUAUUAACUACUUAAUGUUUAUAGAGUUUGAAGAAGUCAAAAGGUACUAAACAAAAGGUUGCAUAAUUAAAUAUGAGAUUAUAACAUUAAAAUUAGACCCUAAUGGCAUUAUUGAGGGAAGAUGAAGGAACAUUCCUUCCUAUAUUAAUUAAUUGACAUAUUUAAUCCACUAAAAUUUAAUUGUUGGCAUAAUAAAAUAAAUAAAUAUUUCAAGAUUUAUAAUUAAUUAUUAUUAAUGGUUACAUAUUAUUGAAUUUAAAUAGAAAGAGGAAGAGACAUAUAAUCUUUUAUAAUCUAAUAAUUAUUUUUUAUUUUUAAUAUUUUGUAAUCUAAUUAUUUUUUUAAUAUCAACCAAUUUAUUAGAUAAUAGAGAAUACAAGAAGAUGAAAAAUAGUGAUGUCACAUCAUCUUCUCUAGUCCCAACUUUAUAUAUAUAUAUAUAUAUAUAUAGAGAGAGAGAGAGAGAGAGAGAGAGAGAGAGAGAGAGAGAGAGAGAGAGAGAGAGAGAGAGAGAGAUAGAUAGAUAGAUAGAUACAGAUUUUUAAUAUUUUGUAAUGUAAUUAUUUUUUAAUCUCAACCAAUAUAUUAGAUAAUAGAGAAUAAAAAAAGAUGAGAAAUAAUGAUGCCACAAAUCUUAAAUAUUUAAUGUUUAUGGAGUUUGAAGAAACCAAAAGGCACUAAACAAAAGAUUGAAUAAUUAAAUAUGAGAUUAUGACAUUAAAAUUAGGCUCUAAUGACAUUGUUGAGAGAUGAUGAAGGAACCUUCCUUCCUAUAUUAAUUAAUUGAUGUAUUUUAAGCCACUAAAAUUUAAUUGUUGGAAUAAUAAAAUAAAUGAAUGUUUCAAGACUUAUAAUUAAUUAUUAUUAAUGGUUACAUAUUAUUGAAUUUAAAUAGAAAGAGGAAAAGACGUGUAAUCAUUUAUAAUCUAAUAAUUAUUUUCUAUUUUAAUAUUUUGUAAUGUAAUUAUUUUUUAAUUUCAACCAAUUUAUUAAAUAAUAGACAAUAUGAAAUGAUGAGAAAUGGUGAUGCCACAUCACCUCUUGUAGUCCCAACUUUAUAUAUAUGUAUAGAUAGAUAGAUUAAUUCAUGUAUUUUAUGCCACUAAAGUUUAAUUGCUAACAUAAUAAAAUAAAUAAAUGUUUCAAAAGACUUAUAAUUAAUUAUUAUUAAUGAUUACAUAUUGUUGAAUUUAAAUAGAAAGAAAAAAAAGUGCAAAGAAUAUCCACCAAUAUUUUAGAUAUUUUAUAUAAUAGAAAAUAUAAAAAGAUGAGGAAUGAUAUAUAUUAAUAAAGUUACUAUUUAUUAAAUGAGUUAAAUACAAUCAAAUUAAUUAUGAGAAGAUGAAAAGGCAAAUCUAAAAAAAAAAAUCUCUAUUUAUUAGAUAAUAGAGAAUAUACAAAGAAGCAAAAUGGUGAUGCCACAUCACCUCCUCAAGUCCUAGCUUUAUAUAUAUAUAUAUAUAGAUAGAUAGAUAUAGAUAUAGAUAUAGAUAGAGAGAGAGAGAGAGAGAUAGAUAUAGAUUUUUAAUAUUUUGUAAUGUAAUUAUUUUUUAAUCUCAACCAAUAUAUUAGAUAAUAGAGAAUAUAAAAAGAUGAGAAAUAAUGAUGCCACAAAUCUUAAAUAUUUAAUGUUUAUGGAGUUUGAAGAAGUCAAAAUGUACUAAACAAAAGAUUGAAUAAUUAAAUAUGGAAUUAUGACAUUAAAAUUAGGCUCUAAUGACAUUGUUGAAGGAAGAUGAAGGAACCUUCCUUCAUAUAUUAAUAUUAAUUAAUUGAUGUAUUUUAAGCCACUAAAAUUUAAUUGUUGGCAUAAUAAAAUAAAUGAAUGUUUCAAGACUUAUAAUUAAUUAUUAUUAAUGGUUACAUAUUGUUGAAUUUAAAUAGAAAGAGGAAAAGACAUGUAAUCAUUUAUAAUCUAAUCAUUAUUUUCUAUUUUAAUAUUUUGUAAUGUAAGUAUUUUUUAAUUUCAACCAAUUUAUUAGAUAAUAGAGAAUAUGAGAUGAUGAGAAAUGGUGAUGCCACAUCACCUCCUCAAGUCCCAACUUUAUAUAUAUAUAUAGAUACUUGGGAGGAAUAUGGGUAAUGGUUUCAUAACUAGACAGUAUUUAAAUUAUUAUAAGAGAAUUAAAAGUCGUAUAUUAAAAAGAAAUCGGUGUCAAUUACAUUAAUGCUCACCCUUGGUCUCAUUUUUUCCCUUUUUUUUUUUCUUUUUUCCUAAAGGAAAAUUAUUGAAAUAUAAGUUUAAUUGUAAUAAAUUAGUGUGAUCCUAACAAUUGUAGUACCUUAUUGUUGUAUUGUUAUUUAUUUUUUUGACGUUUCACUCACCCUCAGCAUACCAAAUUAAAAAAAAAAACUAGAAAUUUUAAUGUAAUUUGUUUUGUCCCAUAUAUAUUGGAGUUUGUAUUUUCUAUUGUUUACUAAAAGAGAAUUUUAUUUUAUUUAAAAUAUGGGACUGGGGGGCUCAUAUCACUGUUCACUUGAGCAAGAGCAAUUUAUAUGUUUAUCCAAAAUCCAAUUCAGAGAGGAAGCAUCACCACUAGUCCACUACGGCACACUAGAAUAAGAUCACUGUGUAAAAGCAAAGUAUAUAUGAACUGAUAGUGAAAUUUACUUGUUAAUUCCUAUAUUAAACGAAUUAAAUCCCAUGUUUCAAUAAUAAACUUGUUAAUUUCAAAUCACAGAUACCGUACAACUAUUGAUAACAAAGAUGAAACCAAUGUGUAAGUAUGAACUGAACUACGAACUAGCUGUGAAACUUACUCGUUAAAGGCUGCCUGCCUGGCCUUGCUCACUUAAUCUCCGAUCUUCUUUGCGGUGCUAGCUAACUCCUUAAUAAUUUCCUUCCGGAAUGAAAACUUCGGUAGCCAAUGGCUCAUACUUAGAUACAGUGGUUAUUUGUCCAGUAGUUAAGACUCUAUUGCCUUGUGACUCAUACUUAUUUGUCCAGUAGUUAAGAGUCUAUCUCUUGGGUAGCUGUAAUCUAGCGGUUCUGAUUUAACUACUAUUCAUUCUUAAAGCCGCAGCCAUUAGAUUUCACUCAUUAUAAUCUAACGGUUCCCAUAAAGGGGGCAUGGUGCCCAAGGGCCUGGUAGCUGGACCCCUAUUUUUCAAUGAUAUAAAUACACAAAAAGCCAAAGGCCAAAUAUAAAUGAAGGAGGGUCAUAAAUCAAAUGAUGGGGAUGGAGUUACAAAUCAAAAGAAAAAAAAAAAAAAGGAAGCGGCUGGGCGAGAACAGGAAGCUGUCGUCGUUCGGUAACGAAGCAAAUGGCUCAAAAUGAUGGGGAUGAAGUUACAAAUCCAAACGAGGAAAAUGAGUAGAGGAGAUUAAAGUAAAGAAAAUGAGUGGCUGGGGAGGAUAAUGUAUAAGGAAAAUGAUAAAAGGAAGAAAUUUGAGCUGUUUUUUUCAAAAUUUUAUUAUUUAUUAUGGUCCAUGCAAAACUAAAAAAAAAUUAAAGGAACGCGUGAAACACAAGCCAACACUGUAUUUUUGUUGUCCUUUAAUUUUUUUUAUCAUUUUCCCUUAUAAUACAUACGACUUGACUAGCUUACAGAAUCUGUAAGCUACAGACUGCAGCAUCAACCGUUGGAUGUGGAGUGAGAAACUAAACAAUAGAAAAUGGGAUGGUGGGAUGACACGAGAUGUUUGUUACAAAAUUUGUACCACAGACAGGUCCAUAAUACAUAAUAUAUCUUCACUAAUGGGUCAUCUUAUGUUACGUCCAGUGUAAGUAGCCUGUAACAUAACAGUAUUUUAUUACUGUUGUUAUGAGUGUGUGUAUAUUACACUCAACGUAACGUCACCUCAAUUAUUGGGACUGGAAAAUCGAGCAAAAGUCUGCUGAAAAAGGGGUAUGCAACAUGGAGCUUGCUAUGUUACAGGCUACUUACAGCUUGUGCAAGUAACAUAGCCAAUGGGAAUCUUCCACGGGUGUUGCUGCUGAUGCAACCUAGCCAAGGGAGCUGUUGAUGCAGGGUCAAAAUGCCAGGAACUUAGUCGUGUCCACGUGACAUAAGUGGCGGAAGGAGUUAGAUGAAAAUGGUUGUUAAAAUCAGGGGUCCGCUUAUAAUACAUGCAGCCGCUUUUUCUUAUUUUUUUUAAGGGUUAUUAUCAUUUUAUUAUUUUAAAAAUUAAAAAAAUAUUAAAUAAUUACAAAAAAUAUUAUCUCCUAUUACUUUUUUAUUAUAUCUUUAUAAAAAUAUUAUUUUACUAUUUUUUCGUUAGUUAACCAAUUAGUUGACUAACAAAAUACUAAUUUUAUCCUUCAUGAUUAAAAAACAUAUAUACUUGAAGCUUAUUUACAAAAUCAACUCUUCCAUAUUUAUUUGAUCAUCCAAGUUUUAUUUCUAAUAUUAGAAUAUAAAAAUAGAAUCAUGAAUAAGAUAAAUUUGUAAUCCAUAAAUCAUAAUUCCAGUAAAAAGAAUUAUGUUGGUAUUUUGUAUUCAUUUUUAUAAAAAAAUUACAAAUUUGUCUUAUUAAUGAUUCCAUUUUUAUAUCCUAAUAUUAGAAAUAAAACUUGCAUGAUCGAAUAAAUGUGGAAGAAUAUGAGUAUAAUAAAAAAAGUAAUGCAAAGUUAUGCUGGCUACCAUAUUGGGUAGCAAAAGGAUGGUAAUGAAAAUAAUUGGGUAGACACUAAAUAUAUAUGAUAUUUAUUCCUAUAUAAGAGACAAUUAAGUCUAGUAUGAAAGUUGGAACUGUAACGGUGGAACAUACAUGUGCCCUCAAAUUGAGGGCACAAUUUCUUACCACCAUUUUUUAUCUUAGACAUUUGAAUAAAGAAAAAUGAUAUUUGAGUAUUAAGAAGACAUUGCAAAGAUAGAAAGGACAGCGUUAUAGCAUGAACAAUAACACUGUUUUUAUCUUCUUAGGCCAUGUUUGAAUGCUAGGAUUAAGUAAGAGAUUGAACUAAUUUUGAAAUUAAAUAUUUAUUUCAUAUUUGGCAAGCUGAGUUGGAUUGAACUAAGGAGGACUAAAUUUAAAUUUAGUCUUAAAAUCACGGGAUUUGUAAUCUUAAUAUACUCAUGGAUUUAUUGGAAUAAAAUUAAGGAAAAAAGAAAGUUGUCCAUUUAUAAAAGUUUCAUUCAUAACAUUAUUUUUUAUUUAUACCGAAUAUCAAUCAAUCAAUAAAAUAAUUAAUUAAUUUUUUUAUUUAUGAUUUACUUAAAAAUUUUUAUUUAUUAUCUAUGAUCUAAUUAAAUUGGUACUUUUAGUUCUACUAGAUUAAAUUUUCAUUACUUGCAUAUUUAAUAAUUUUUCUAUAAAAUUAACCACUUAAUAAUUUAUUGCAUUAUUGAUUGUAAUAAAUUUAAUAAUCACUAAUACAAUAUUAAAUUGAUGUUUUCACACUGUAGAUAAAUUAAAAAUUGUCUCUAAGUAGGGAUAACCUUUCUCAAAUCCUUUUUAGAGUUGAACGUGGUGAUAAAAUGGAGAGUUAAGAGCAUAACAAAGUCAAGAAAUAAAUGAAAAUAUAUUAAAAUUUGAUGUUGAAGAUCAACCUUAAGACUUAAAAUUACACAGCACAUAUCUAGGCUCUUGAAUUUCAUACGACUCGUCUUUUCUGAAGUAUAAAUAUAAAUAAGAGACUAUGUAAAAUUUCUAGAUAGGGCCAAUCAAAGAGACAUCAAAUUCAAGGUUGAUUUAUAAUUAAUUAAUUAAUGCUUCGUUGAACUUACUUUAAACAUAAAUCAAGGGGUAUGUAGAUUACUUCAGUGAAUACAAUAAAGGAUGAGAAACUCACAGUAUAUUUUGUGUUCAUUUCCUUUGGUGAUUCACAUCCUUAUCUCGCAUUAUUCUCGAUUGUUCUUGGCCCAAGCCUUCUAGAGGCUCUCAUGUCAACCUCAUUUGCAGCAAAUCUUCGAUUACGGUUUCCCCGCCAAAACCACUUCUCUGGGGCAUUCUGUCGAACAUCUAUGGACAUAUAUCAAACACAUUAUUUUAACUGUUACUAAUGUUGUGUCUGAUACAAUAAGCAUGGCAACCACAAAUUCAAUUGCUUUGCUCUUGUUGAAAAUAAGAAAGAACUGCAAACAGAGCUUGCAGCAUCGUUAGGAGAAGUAUGACAAAAGCAGCAAGAACGGAGAUGAUUGCCCACGGAGUGUUGAAAUAAUUGUGCCUCAAAUUGGCCAUCCACUUAUUACGACGCCUGCUGCGAUGGAAGUUCACUUUGUUAAAUACCUCCCAGUAAUAGAACUGCUUACCGAGUACAGCACCAUCACCAAGCUUGUGCAUUAAGGUUACAAUCACUUCAUCAUCUCCUAAAAUAUUAUCAAUUAUUCCACGAUGACGAAGUAAUUCAGCAUCCUUUGAAGAGUUGAUGAGGCAGCCCAACAAUUCAACAUAAUCUAUUACAUGCUUCGGAUUUAUAUCUUGGGAACACUGCUCGAAUGUAAUGAGAUUCUGAAAAAUAGUUUCUGUAGCAUCAGUAAUUUCCAGGGAUGGGAUCUUCAUUACCCCAUUUUCGAACUUAAUAUCGAACAAGGAAUCAUCCUUAUGGACCUCAAACAUCUCGAACUGGACUCCAGCCUCUUGAAUGCCGAUGGCAGAACAAAUGAAUCUCCAGUCACUAUUAUUUUUGCCAUUAUUCCGAAAUGCAUUGAUGCCUGCAGAUGAUGGAAGCCAGUUAUCGUGUAUCAAAUGGACUAGAUGUUUGACUUCAUUUAUGCGAUAAUCUUUAUCUCGAUAAACAUCAUCCCUUCGACAACCCUUUCCUGGUAAUAUGCCAUUGAAAAAACGAAGGAUCAUGAGAAGAAAGUUAUCAUCAUUUGAAUUAUUAGGCAUCUUAGUAAUGGUAAACAACUUCCAGAGAACAAAAAAUGGAAGUUGAUUCUCAAGCAAAAUCAUAUCUCGUGCUAUGGAAGGUAACAUCCAACUCAGUUUAAAAAUUGGGUCAUCAUCUCCUCUCAAGCGUGUCAAUGCAAACUUACGAAUAACCUCGACGAUAAAACAACCAUCGAGAAGCAUCAUUAGCACAAACUUAUCUGUCUCUAAACUUAGGGACCCUCCAUAACAAUUUUUAGCUCUUUCUUCCAUUGCCCUCAUGGCUAUGACAUAGUCUGGCAAAGGCUUGCUCGUACGGUCUAGAAGUUCUCUGAGAUAGCGUGUUUUGUGCACCUCAAAGGUCGAUAAUUCUUCUUUACCGUGAUGAUAAGGACCAAUUGCUAGCAUUUUUGGUUCAUAAGCCUUUUCAUUUAACUUACGCAGUACAUCAGGCACCUUAAAAAUGUUGAACCGAUCAGAUGGUGUAGCAGUUAGACCAUCAAGCUUUUCCUUAACAAGAUCAAGUACUCUGUCAGCUGAUGGACUUGCCAUGCCUUGAUCUGCAUUUUAAGUCACAGGAUCAAAAUUUCAAAAAUGUUGAAAUCUGUAUAUCCAUAAUUAUUGACAACCACAGAAGACACAAGUACUUGAAUUUUUCAUAAAAGCUACUAUGAUGGUCAGGAAUUAUGUUUGAAUUUUAAUAAAUCUAGCUAACACCUAGUGAUAGAUAAUAGUUUCGACAUCUAAGAAUUAUACUACUUGCACAGCAGGAGGGAGUGAAACAAAAUCAUCAAUAUUCAACAAUAACCCAUUAAUUGAAUGACCAAAAACAACUCAAAAAGUUAUAUAUUUGUUUCGAUUUCAAUUCUUUAUAUCCUUAGUAAUAGUUCCUACAGCACUAAGCCAGAUCAUGGAUCUCUACUGUCACACGACUAAAGAAACCAAGCAGAAUUCACACGAAGUCGAUUAAUGCUUCAGAGUUAUAAGAUAUAUUAUUCUAAACAAUUUUGUAAUAACUUACUCGUUUGAAGGCUACCGUUCCUGUUGCUUAACGAGAUCGCAAUCUUACCGGUGCAAUGACGAGAUCCCAGUCUUACCGUUGCAAGGAAUUCGAUCCUUUGUUUUCUUUUGAUGAAAUAAAGUAGUAGAAUGUUUACUAAUAAUACAAAGGAGACUUCACGCGGGUGUGGGCUCCAAUCCGAAAAUUUAAAAUAUUUUAAAAUGAUUCUGACCAUAAAUUCAGCAUUCAACAAAGCUCAAUUUUACAACAUUACCCCUUCAACUGUAAACUUUCUUGAACACUCUUCUUUCUCCCUCAAUUGUUUCUCUUCUUUUCAAAAAAAAUAAAAGAAAAGAAAAAUUGUUUCUCCUCAAUCUGAUGAAAAGCCACUUGAAACCAGAGCUCUUUUUUUUUUUUUUUAUAGUAAAAAUCUGUUUCAGAAUAUCAUCGAACAAGUUCUCUAGCUUAAAAUUAUCUUGACAAAUCUUUUUUAAUUUUUACUUUUUUUAUUAAAUAUACAUUUCACAAUAUCACAUGAAUUACAUACACAAGUAAAUUUUUUUAAUUUAAGCUAAAAAAGGAAGCCUAAUUCAUUUUACCAUCCGGCCAACCGAAAGUUAUUAUAGACUUAUAAUGUUCUUAAAAUUCACUCAAUAUACAAUUUAUUUCUUUAUUUUUAUUUUUUAUUGAAUGUAUCCCAAUAUUCACUUGUUUUUUUUAUUUUGAGUGAUUGUCUCACUCGCUGAUUCUAGAUUCGACAUGUGUCCCAUAACACAUCUUUUAUAUUUACCGAAAAGCACACUCGUAUUUUUGUCUUUUGCAUCAUUAUUUUAUUUGACUUAAACAUCAUCCUAUAACCUCACAAUAAUUACUUACACAAGUGAAUUUUAAUUUAAACUUAAAGCUUACUUGAUUUUAAUAAUUUUUAGAUUAUUUGAGUCAUUCUAUGUAGUAAAAGACUGUGUAUUUGUUUAAUAAUUAUAUUAUACAGUUUGUUAAAUUAUUUGGUCCUUUUUCAUUGUCAUUGAAAAAGAAUCUUUGAAAUUAUGUUUCCAUAAUUAUUAAAUUAAAUGGGUGCAUAUAAUGCUAAAUUUAUUAUAUAAAAUGUUAUUGUUUAUAUUUAUCCUUGCCCCAUUUUGAUCUUGUUAUGUUUGGAAUAUUUUACUCUAGCUAACUCUCCAAAUAAUUGAAAAGGUAUCAAGAAACAAUUUGUUUGUUUGUUGUUUGUUUAUUCAUUUAAAUCUAUGUGUGGUUCAAAAAAAAAAAAUUCAUGGAACUUAGAUAACUACAAAUAUAGUUCAAAUAAAUUUCUAAGUUUCUGGCUUCUCUGGGACUUGAGAUAAGUAGUUGAAAGUAAUUUCUUGAAAUUUAGGAGAAGUAAUUGGAACAAUUUUGGAGAAACAGUUGACGUGUUUGAUCAAAAGUAUUUUGCUUAAACUUUGAAAGGACAUUGUGGUAAAUAAAAAGUGGCAGGGCUUUAAUUAUAAUAAAUAUAUGGGAUGAUAGUUAAAUCAAGUAAGACAAUGAAUAUAAUAGACAAAAUAAACAAUAGAUAAGUAUAAAACUAUAAAUGAUGUUUGGACCUGCCGCCUAUGGUACAGAUUCUGUACCUAACAUCUCCCCCCGUCAUCCCACCAUCCCAUUUUCUAUUGUUUAAUUUCCCACUCCACAUCCAACGACAUCCAACGGCUGAUGCUGCAGUCUGUAGCUUACUGAUUCUGUAAGCUAGUCGAGUCCAUGAUGUUUAUGGAGCCUACAACACUUUUUAUCUCUCACGUGUCAAAUGCAAAAUGAGAGACCAUAGCAUUCGUCUUUUUAUUUUUUUCUGCUUUUCUUUUAAGAUUGACACUUUUUCCUCAUCGGCAUCACUUUCUACAAAUCAAUUCUAUUGGUAUAAGAUUGUUUUAUACCUUAAUUAAGGUCUUUGGUAAGUAUAGUUGUAUUAAAUAUUUUUUGAGAGAAUUUUAUCUUAAUGAAGAAUACGAAGAUUUUUUUUUUUUUACUAUAAUCUAUUUUGUAAAUAGUAAUUAAAAAAAUGAUUUCAAAUUUUUAGGUAAAAAUUAUUAUUACCACUUUUUUGGCUAAAACUUUUUCAAUGGAUGUGAAAAACUUCUUCUAAUUACUUGGGAGAACGUUUCGGUAAUGGUUUUGAUGGCUUUCCUCAGUAGAUUAAUUUAUUAUUUAGUUUGCUUUUGAGUUUUAGUACUUUUAAGUCUUUGUAGCUAAUUGACGUUUGCAAUAGAACUAGCAAUAAAUUAAAUUAUUUAACAGAAAGAAGCAUAUCCUAUCCAAAAAAAAAGAAAGAAAGAAGCAUAUAGUAUUCACAUCUUCAUCAGAUAUCAGAAUAAAUAAAUUAUUGUGGUGUAAAACUUCUGUACAAUUUCCAUCCAUCACCUGUUAUAUGUUUAUCCAAAAUCCAAUUCAGAGAGGAAGUAUCACCACUAGUCCACCUACGGCACACUAGAAUAAGAUCACUGUGUAAAAGCAAAGUAUAUAUGAACUGAUAGUGAAAUUUACUUGUUAAUUCCUAUCUUAAACGAAUUAAAUCCCAUUUUUCAAUAAUAAACUUGUUAAUUUCAAAUCACAGAUGAAGUACCACUAUUGAUAACUAAGAUGAAAGACUGAACUACGAACUAGCUGCGAAACUUACUUGUUAAAGGCUGCCUGCCUGCCCUUGCUCACUCAAUCUCCUAUCUUCUUUGCAGUGCUAGCUAACUCCUUAAUAAUUUCCUUACGGAAUGAAAACUUCGGUAGCCAAUGGCUCAUACUUAUAUACAGUAGUUAUUUGUCCAGUAGUUAAGACUCUAUUGCCUUGUGACUCAUACUUAUUUGUCCAGUAGUUAAGAUUCUAUGUCUUGGGUAGCUGUAAUCUAACGGUUCUGAUUUAACUCACUAUUCAUUCUCAAAACCCCAGUCAUUAAAUUUCACUCAUUAUAAUCUAACGGUUCCCAACAAACUGAUAAAUAAGGGGGGCACGGUGCCCAAGGGGCUGGUAGCUGGACCCAUAUUUUCGAAUGAUAUAAAUACACAAAAAGCCAAAGGCCAAAAAAUAAACGAAGGAGGGUCAUAAAUAUCUCUCCUCGUGGCUGGUGAGAUUGGCUGUAGUUAUCAUUUUUACAUUUCAAAAGCCACCGUACUUGUCAACAGUCAUAAUUACAUGUUUGCAUGUACUCCAAUCUUGCCUGCCAAUAAAACAUUUUGAGGAGUGCUAGAAACAGUCGCUUGUUUCUUGUGUUGACACGUGUUUUUCUUUUCAGUUCAUUUAUGGCUAUUUAAUUUUACCAUAAUAUCCUUAUUAAAUCUUCUUCCAUGAAGCGCUUUUUUUUUUUUUUUUAAAACCAAUCAUGCAUAAUCCAUUUAUGACCAUCACUCAAUUCAUUUUCUCUCUGCAGGCCAAACCAAACCCAACACCAGAACAGAACCGCUUUCCCAAGCGUGAAAGAGAAAGAGAGAAUAAUGGAGGUGAGGCUCUCCAUUUUAUGGUGGCAGCAGAGGAAUCCCAUGCAUCCAUCCGCCUUUUUCUAUGAAGCUUUAAUUUAAUAAGUUCUUAUGAAAAUUUUUCUUUUUAGAAAAAGUUAAAACAAAAACCCAGCUUAAGAGAUGACUAUCCUGAAAUUUGCAAGACUUCUGAUUUUUUUUUUUUUGGUGUUAUACUGAAGAUUUUAUUUAUAAGCAGAUCUAAACCCUUUUUGGAUGGUUGAAAAAAUUGGAGCAACUUUUUGUUGGGGAAGAAUGAAAGUGGUUCGAAGAGAUAUUGAUGAGUAAUGGGUGAGAGUGGAUUUGAGAGUGAGGAUAAUGGCCAUUGAUGAAAUGGCGAAAUCGAGUGAGUUUAGUGAGACAAAGAGGGAGAAGGCUUGAGGGCCCGAAAUGGAUGGAGGAAAAAUUGAGGAAGAGAAGAAUGAAAAAUGGAUUGAAGGAUAAAUCUGUAAUUUAAAAAUGAUGUUUUUUUAUAAUGAAUAAAAGUUUGGAGUGUUACGCAACUACAAAACUGACAUCUUUAUAAUAAAUACAAACAUAUUAUUAAAAUAAAUACAAUAAUUUAAAGUUUUAAUAUUACUUUAAAUGUUAAAAAUAAUUUAGUAUUAUUAAUCUACUAAAAAGAUUAUAUUAUUUUAUAUUACAUCUGUGUUAAUUAAAAACCUUUAAAGUUAAUCUUAUAAUUAUUUCAUUCAAAGGAUAUUAUAAUUAAAAAAUAAUUUUAAUGUUCUUUUUUAAAAAUUUAAGAGUUUUCGUGAUUAUUUUUUAAAAUUUUGCAAGUGUACGUAUCUUUUUAUCCUUUAGCAUAUGAAAAAAUAAUAUGUUUUAUUAUAAAAAAUUUUAAUAUUAAAUUUAGUAGGUUUGAUUAUAAAACUUAUUAUGUGUCCAUUUUAAAAUCUCAGCACUUUAAUAUAUAACUAAUGAUACAGCCACAAACUCUUGUACAAACUUAUUUUAUACAAACUGACGUGGCAUUAAUUCAUUGGUUGAAUGAAAAUAUAAAUUAAUAAAAACAAAUCAUGUGGGCCAAGUGAUAUUUAAUUCAAUCAAUCUUAUCAUGCCACAUCAGUUUAUAUAAAAUAAGUUUGUACAAGAGUUUGUAGCUGUAUCAUUACUCUUAAUAUAUUGAGAUAGAGUAAUGAUAAAGUCAAAAAUUUUUGUAUAAAUUUAUUUUAUAUAAACUUAAAUGAAAAUAUAAAAUAAUAAAAAUAAAUUAUGUAAAUUUAGAUAUAUUUAAUUUAAUUAAUUUUAAAAUACCACAAUAAUUUAUAUAAAAUAAAAUUUUAUAUCAUAAUUUGUGGAUAUUAGGAUAAUUCCGCACAAUUGCUUCUCAAGAAAAAGAUCAAGGAUCAGGUAGACAAAAUGUGUGGUAGCUAUGGUGUACACAGUACACGUCACCUCAAUUGACAAUUAGUGGGAGUGAAAAAAUCUAGCAAAAGUCUGGGUUACGUAACAUAUGUCGGUUAGGUGAAAAUGGUGGUUAAAACUUAAAAUCAAGGGUCCGCUUAUAAUAGAGUGCUGUGUAUUGCAACGUGUCUUCUCUCUCUUCAGAAAAUGAGCACACGUGAAUUUUAAAUUGAGCCCACGAUCAGUUUAAAAAAUUAAACUAAACAUUGCACGUGAUAGUUGAGGACAAAAAAUUAAAUUAAUUUUUUUAUUAUGAAGUAUGUAUUAUUUUUAACAUCCAUUUAACAUACAUAUUUUUUUAAUUUUAUAUUUAUCUUACAAUUAAUAUCUUUACAUGAUAGGAAUUUGAAGUUUUAUAAGCCUAUAUAUUUUCAUUUUAAUUGCAAAUAUCACUUUAUUAAUUUCACAAAAAUUAAAUCUAAUAUGAACCGUGAAAGAUUAUUUUAUUAAUAUCCUUUGAUUGUAAUUAUAAAAUUUUAUAUUAUUAAGAAUCACUACUUUUGUUAUGAUAAUUAAUAGUGACAAUAAAUAAAAUAUUACAUCCAAUAAUAUUUACAUGGGAAAAAAAGUGAAAGAAAAUUAUUUAUAUUUUUAGAUUUUUAUUGAUAUGGUAGAAAAUUAUCUCAGCUUUAUAAAAUUUAACUUUUACAAGUUUGUUUUCAUUUUAUUUUCAAAUGUCACUUUGUUAAGUUCAUAAAAAUUAAAUCUAACACAUAUUCCUAAUUAACUUUAGUUUAUAAAUUAUGGAAGAUAAUUUUAUUGUUAUUCUUUAAUAGUAAUUAUAAAAUUUUAUGCUACAAAAAGUCAUUACUUUUAUUAUGAUAAUGAAUAGUGACAAUAAGUAAAAUAUUACAUCAAAUAAUAUUUAAUGGAAAAAAUGAGGAAAAUAAUCAUUGUAUGUUUUUAUAUUUCCAUUAUAAAGAUAUGGUUUGGGAUACUUUAAUUUAAAAUUUUGGCACAAUAUUUGAGCCACUAAUAUCUCAUAGUCUAAUGGUUGAUAUUGAAAGUCAAAACAACAUUUCAUAAUGUUAUAUCCUCCACCAUUGAAUUGCAUGAAAUAAAUAGUUUAAUUUUUUGAUAAAAAAUAAAAUCAAAAUAUUUCUCACUCUAUAAUUAUAUAGAGAUAUAUAUUUUUCAAUAAUAAUUGGUGAAUAAAAUAUUUCUUAUUUGUUGUGACUCAUAUAGUAUUAUUAAUAAAACACAUAUAAAAUAGUUUAUUGCAAUGCUUUCUAUUAUCAUUAUUGUUUAGGUAUUAAUGGUUUGUAAUUAAAUUUAUACAAUACAAAUUAUUACAAGACUUUGUGUUAAAUAUACUUGAUAUUAUAUUUUAUACUUAAUGGUAACUGAUUUUGGAAGAUUUAUUUAAAAGAGAUUAUCAUAUUACAAAUUUAAAGGAGGGCUGAAAAGUAAUUUUAAAUAAAUAUACUAUUUAAGUGGAAUUGUUUCAAACUCUAAGGGUGGUUACAAUUAUUUUACAAAAAUUAUCCACCCACUUAAACUGUUACAAUUAUUUUUAAAUUAUUUUUUAGUACAAAUAUUGUAUACCAUUAAUUAGAUCUAAUGGUUCACAAUUGAUACAUUGUUGAUGCUGUAAAAAACUUUACAGCACAUAGAGUAACCCAACCCUUAUUUGAUUUUAUGGAUUAAUAAGUGGAAGUUCCACUAUUGCUUAAGUAAUGGAUUUCAUUAAUUUUGAAUAUUGGUUUUGCUAUUCAGCCAAAAAGCUCUGGAAGGGUGGGCGAAGACAGAGAAGCUUCCGUUUAAAAUAAAAAAUUAUAUAUAUUAUUUGAAUUUUAUUUGUUUGUACAAUUAGUUCAACCAAAUGCUUCAUUUUGAUUAAUAACAAACUAACUUUUAAUAUUUUGCUUGGUGAAUGGUGAUAAAGAGCUUCACGUCCCAGUAUAUGAUUUAGGUUUUAGAUUAAACAUAUUAAAAAGCCAAAGGCAAGAAAAUAAUUUUUAUUCAUCAGCUAUCUUCUAUUUUAUAAUGAUAUAAAUACGCAAAUUAUCCUAACAAUUACAAUAGAAAGUUAAAAGGAAAAUAAAUGAAAGAGAAUAGUAAUUAUCUGGUGGGAUUGAUGGUAGUUACGAUUAUGUCUAUUACAUUUUAAAAGUCAUCAUUACAUGACAUCAUUACAUUUUUGUAUGUGCUCCAUAAUUAUUAUGCUAGCUGCCAAUAAAACAUUUUUUCCAUUUUCCAGCAUAUGUUUGGAAUUGCAUUAGCCUAUGGAGAGAUCAAUUCUUAAUAAUAAAUUAAUGUCAUCAUCAAUAAUCCGUCUUGGGAUUUUCAUAAUCCGCUUUCAAACUUUAGAUCGAACAAAAAUUUUACCCUUUUAGAGAUAUUUAUAAUUAAAAAAAAAGUGAAAUAUUUUUUGUGGGAUAGAUUAAUAAUAUUUUCAUAGAAGAAAAAAAAGAUACAUACAUCCUCAAGAUUUAAAAAAAUAGUCAUAGAACAUCUUAAAUUUUUAAUAAGGGACACUAAAAUUCCAUUUUCACCAUGACCCUUUGACACUAUAAACUCAAAAUAUUGACCCCCAAAAAUUUUAUAAUAAAUAGAAAUAUGACAUUAAAAUAAAUAUAAUAAUAUAUAUUUAAAAUAAUUUUACAAUCUAUUAGAUUUAUUUUAUUAUAUUAAAAAAUUAAUAAUAAAUAAAAACAUAAUAUUAAAAUAAGUAAAAUUUAAUUAUUUUGAAUAUUAUAUAAAAGUUAAUUCUAAUAAUAUUAAUAGGGAGAUAUUUUGUUAAUUGUAAAAUCUAUUUAACCAAAGAUUUAUUUAAAAUCUUUAUAAUAAAUACAAAUCUAUUAUUAAAAUAAAUAUAAUAAUUUAAAAUUUUAAUAUUACUUUAAAUAUUAAAAAUAAUUUAAUAUUAUUAAUCUACUAGAAAGAUUAUAUUAUUUAUAUUAUGCUUGUAUUAAUUAAAAAUCUUUAAAGUUAAUCUUAUAAUUAUUUUAUUCAAAGGCUAUUAUAAUUAAAAAAUAAUUUUAGUGUUCUUUUUUUAAAAUUUAAGAGUUUUCAUGAUUAUUUUUUGCAAUUUUGAAAGUGUAGAUGUCUUUUUAUCCUUUGGCAUGUGAUAAAAUAAUAUGUUUUAUUAUGAAAAUUUUUAAUAUUAAAUUUAGUAGGUUUGAUUAUGAAAUUUGUUAUGUGUCCAAUUUAAAAUCUCAGUACUCCAGUACAUUGAGAUACUAGGACAAUUACGCACAAUUGCUUCUCAAGAAAAAGAUCAAGGAUCGGACGGACAAAAUAUGUGGUAAUUAUGGUGUACAAGUUACCUCAAUUAUUGGGAGUGAAAAAAUCUAGCAAAAGUCUGCUGAAAAUGGGUUACGUAACAUAUGUGGCCUAAGUGAAAUAUUUCAAGCACAUAUUAAUCUGAUCAGAUUAAACUAAAAGACUACCAAAGACCCCCCCAACUUAACAUAAAAAAUAGGGCCUAAGUGAAAUAUUUAACAGAUUAUGAUAAUUAUGAAUAAAAGAUUAAGAAUUAUGAAUGCCUAUUAAAACUCAAUUGGAAGAGGAUUUGUGUUUUGUUGUCUUCAGCAUUGAAGAUUUGCAAAUGUGAAACAUCAUGGUUAGUUGUAGGCUUUAGAGAUUCUAGAUGUAGGAAACGAAGUUAUUGAGUUAAAUUGUUUUUUAGAUUAGGAUAGGGAUUCUGAAGAACAAAAUAAUUAAUUUGAUUAAAUAUACUUAAGCCGCCAACUCUUUUAAUUAUAUAUAUACAUAUAGACACACACACACACCUAGGAUAGGGUUUAAUGUGGGCUUUUUAUAAAAUAAAAUUACAAGGGACUUAAAUAAAUACAGUUAACAUUAAAAUUAACAACCUACGCCAAAUAAAUAAUUGAAUUUAGGAGGAAAGUUUAGUUCAAGGGACUCUCGCCCCCUGUGGUCACUCGUUGGAUUCAUCAAUGUUCAUACGAAUAUUGGAGCCCCUACGCACCUGCGAACCAAACAUUUUACUUAUCAGAACAAAAACGAAGGGAAGAAGGGAAUAUCGUAUAGCAAUUGGAACGGUAGCAUUCAAACAAGUUGGCUCUGAUUAAAAAUUGUAUAAUAUAAUUUGUAUCUUAUAACUUUGAAGCAUUAAUCGACUUAUUAAAUGAUUUCCCUUACAUUAGUUAUUUCCUCUACCAAUGUUUAUGGAAGAAAUUAGUUAUUUAAAAGUUAUAUUUCCUCUACCAAUGUUUAUGGAAGAAAUUAGUUAUUUUUCUCUAUCUAAUUAGGAGGGGAAACAAAAGUCCCAACUUGAACCGACACCCUCAAGUUAUUACAUUUUAAAGUAAUCAUGUUGUAUUUGAUUUUAUGGAUUAAUAGUAAUUCUUCAAUUUUUCAACGUCUAGUGAUCCAAAAUCCACAUAAACUUUCCACAAAUAUGAAAAAAAGAUAAGAAAACAAAUCAAUAUAACAUGAUGCGCCAAAUCCAGUUUCUCUAGGGGGGAGGCCGAAUUUUGCUUCUCUACUUUAUACUUUGUGUUGUGCGAUAAAACUUCAAUUGUGAAAUAUCUCUUUAUAUAGGCACUAGAGUUUCACCAAAAUAGGAAAUCUUAAAAGACUUGGAUUCUUUCCAAAUAAGAGUUUCUUUCCUUUUUAUAAUUCCUAUGAAUUUGAAUAUGAAUAAAUCUGAUAUUCUUGUCUUAUUUGUCUCCUGAGAAAUAUAUAUAACAUUUAAUGACUUCUUGUUUGAACCAACUUCUUGCUCUAAAUAGAUCUCAUGCGCCAAUUAUUGAAUCUCACUAUUAAUUGACUUGAUAAAUUAGAUAUCUAAUUAAAUUAGGAAACAAAUAUUCAUAAUAAAUUAGAAUAUCACUAAAUUAAGGAAUUAAUAAAUUAAUUCCUAUUACAAGAUAUGUGUUUUCAACUGAUUUUGGGGUAGGAAAAUCCAAAAUCUAUCUUGAACAAUGAAUUUAUAUUUUUGAGGGAGAUGGGGUACCUCACUAGUAUAUAGUGUGUGGUGCGGUGUAUCUGAAAUUCGGAGGAGGUGAGAAUGGGAGAGAGAGUGGUAACAAUGAUGGAAGGUCAGAGACGAGAGAUGUGUCCUUCCAAAAUGAGCUUUACGCCUGCAAAACAAUGAAAUAGAGUUAGAGGUGAAGCCGGGGCACCCCGGCGUUCACACUCCGACGCUCAAGUUAGUAAACUCAAGCUUUUAUGGCAAAGAGAGCUAGCUAGCCCUCUGUAAAUUAGGGUUUAAGGUUGAAGAAAACCUAUUUUUUGGAGUGUGAGUGUUUUUGGGCGAAUGAGAGCAUGAUGGAGAAUGAAACCUAGGCGCCUUUAUAUAUGGAGUACCUCAGCUACCACGUGGCAUAUCCUUUUUGGCUAACGUCCUUUUACCUCUUUAUAAUUUUUGGGCCGUUAUCUGCAUGUUCGCAGCGUAUCUCAUCUUUUGGAAACGUGGCGCACGCUGGAGAGUGGUCCAGGGUACCUCUGCAGUAGUUGUCGGGUAGGCGGCUGGGGGCCACUGUCCUUGAGACAGUGUCCUUCACUUUUGGCAGAGGUAGCAGGCGGCUGUCCCUCCUUUUUGCACGUCGUUUGUUAUUCCUAAUUCUGAAAAAAUCGAAUAAUAUCUUUUAGGAGGCGGAGACGUUUCUCAUGGUGGAUAUUUUCGGAGGAUUCUCUUGCAUCCGCUUUGCCGGGUACCUCGAGUUACGUGGGGUACCCCUAUUUGUAUGGGGUACCUCUAUUUGUGUGGGAUACCCCUAUUUACACGGGGUUCCUCAAGUCAUGCCAGGCACCUCGGAUUGUGCAGGGUACCUCUAUUUACACGGGGUUCCUCAAGUCAUGCCGGGCACCUCGGAUUGUGCAGGGUACCCUCCGAUUGUACUAAAAUCAUUCCAUUGGUUGACACGUGGCGCUCUAUUGCCUUUCAUAUUUUUCCCUCAAACAAUAUGUAAUAAAUAAACUUCUAAUUUAACUAGACUUACCAUAAAAUGAUAACUUUAUAAAUAAUGACCUUAACAAAAAAAAAAAUUUCUUCAUCAAUUAUUAUCUAUUUUAAAAUGAUAUAAAUACACAAGCUACCGUAACAAUUACAAAAGAAAGUCAAAGGAAAGUAAAUGAAGAAAGUAGUAACUGUCUGGUAGGGUUGGUGAUAGUUAUCAUUACGUCUUUGACAUUUCAAAAGUUACUGUUGCUCGUCAAGAGACCUCAUUCCAUUUUUGCAUGUGUUCCGUAAUUAUUAUGCUUGCGGCUGCCCAUAAGACAUUUUUUCCAUUUUCAUCAUACGUUUGGACUUUGGAAUUGCAUUAGUCUCUCCAGAGAUCAUUUCUUAAUAAUAAAUUAAUAUCAUCAUCAAUAAUCGGUCUUGGGAUUUUCAUAAUCCGCUUUCAAACUUUAGAUCGAACAAAAAUUUUACCCUCAGGUUUUUAGAGAUAUUUGUAAUUGAAAAAUUUUGAAAAACUUUUUGUGGGAUAGUUUAAUAAUAUUUUCGUAUUAAAAAAAAAAGACACAUGCAUCCUCAAGAUUUAGAAAAAUACUCAUAAAGCAUCCCAAAUUUUUAAUAAAAGACACCAAAAUUCUUUUUUGAUCAUGACCCUUUGAUACUAUGAACUCAAAAAAUUGAUUCCAAAAUUUUUAUAAUAAAUAGAAAUAUAGCAUUAAAAUAAAUAUAAUAAUAUAUAUUUAAAACAAUUUUACAAUCUAUUAGAUUUAUUUUAUUAUAUUAAAAUUUUAUAAUAAUAAAUAAAAACAUAAUAUUAAAAUAAAUAAAUUUAAAUUAUUUUGAAUAUUAUAUAAAAGUUAAUUUUAAUAAUAUUAAUAGGAGAUAUUUUGUUAAUUGUAAAAUCUAUUUAACCAAAGAUUUAUUUAAAAUCUUUAUAAUAAAUACAAACAUAUUAUUAAAAUAAAUAUAAUAAUUUAAAAUUUUAAUAUCACUUUAAAUGUUAAAAAUAAUUUAAUAUCAUUAAUCCACUAGAAAGAUUAUAUUAUUUAUAUUACGUUUGUAUUAAUUAAAAACCUUUAAAGUUAAUCUUAUAAUUAUUUCAUUCAAAGGAUAUUAUAAUUAAAAAAUAAUUUUAGUGUUCUUUUUUUUUAAAUUUAAGAGUUUUCGUGAUUAUUUUUUAAAAUUUUGAAAGUGUAAGUGUCUUUUUAUCCUUUGGCAUAUAACAAAUAUUAUGUUUUAUUAUAAAAUUUUUAAGGAAAAUUCUAUGAUGCCGUGAUUAAAAUUACGGUAUCAAUGCCGUAGUUAUUAUGUACCAUUAGAUUAGAUCAACGGCACAUAAUAAUUAUAAUCAUAUAAAUUUUAUUUUUUCAACAGGUUACAACCUGGUUAACAUUUUUUUAUAAGUAAAAGUUAACCGAUUAAAAUUAAAAAGAAUUAUUAUAUUUUUUUAGAAAAUUAUUAUAACUGAUUUAUUUUAAAAUCACUCAUUCACGUUAAUUAGGGAUUAUGAUAGGACCGAAGUAAAACUUCAGCCGAUUCAUAUUGAGAGGAAAAGAGCAACUGAGUCUUUCUCCACUACCAACUCCACGUCAUCGCCGUUCCGCCGUUUUGUUUCAUCAUGUGUUGCGAAAGGGGUUGUUUCCCAGUGGCCAACUCGAAGAGGCUAAAGCUUGUUAAAUUCCAAAACACAUAAUCCUUGCAAACUAGAACGGGCAAAGGCUAUCUUUGAAUUGUGCUUUUUUUUCCUGUUUUUCGAGCCAGACUGCCCACCAAGUUAGCCAAUUCUUGGUACUAAUUUUGUCUUUUAGUAUUGAUUUUUGGGGAAUUCCUUUUUUCACCUUGAUUUUCUUUUGAAUUGUUUUAUAUCUACUUGAUUUUCUUUCUUUCACUCUUUUGUAUUCUUUGGUUUUCUUCAUCAAAAUUUACUGUUUUCACAUGUUAUCUUUAUUAUUUCCUGCUAAUUAAUUUUGUAUUGUAAAUAAUCUAUUUGUUGGACUUCCAGAGUGAGCAAGUUAAUUUGAUUUAAUUAGGUGCCUAUUAUAAUAGCUUUUCUGGUUUGUUGUAGGCAAUUCUAACUGUAUUCUACAUAAACUUCCAUAUGAUUAGAUCUUCAUAAAUGCAAAGGAUAAUAAUGUUAUAAGCCAUUGGCCUAAGAAAAUGUGUAAAUCUUCUAUUUGAGGUACAAAUUUUCUAUCAUAUGUUUUUUUUUAUUUUGUAUUUUUUCACAAAGAACUGGUUGUUAAGAUCCUAUUUCAUUAGUUGAAACUGAUUGAAAGGAGAUUACCCUUCGGCAGUUGGUGGGAAAGAUUUAAGUUCAUCUUUCUGGAUCUUCUACUUUAGACUUAUCAUUCAAGAAAGUGUCAAAACUCGAAUGGCUGUAAAACUUUGAACAGAUUAUUAAUUAAUUUAGGUGCAAGAUCUUUUAUAACACUUUAAUAAGUUAUUACCAUUGCAUUCUUUUUUUCUUUUCUUUGAGAAGAAACCAUUUAACUUUAGACUAACUUCCAAAUUUACCUUUGUAAUUUAGCUAAAUAGGUAAAUUUAUUCAAAAGCUUUCCUCCUCGCAAGCUUAAGGUACUUCAACUUUGCCUACAACUACAAGUUAAAGAGAAAUUAUCGUGAAAACCGUGCCACGGCCGUAGUAUUUAAAAUGUGCACAAGGAGCUUAGAGAACUGGGCUUUGUUUGAUUACAUGAAAGGAAAUGGACAAAAUUUAUGUUACAAAAGAAGCUUGGAGCUGAUAAAUGAUGCAGUAUGAGUGAACUUUUUGUCGCUCUUUGAGGAAUUUUUCUACAAAUUUUGAUAUAGCUAUUAUUUUGGUGAAUGAUUUAUUCUUUUCUUUUUUCUUCAAUAUUAUGAUUUUGUUUCCAUAUUUUAAUAGAAAUUAUUAAAAUUCUAAGGAAAUUGCACUAUUUAUCUCAAGAAAGUGGCUUAAUUCUACAGAUAUGACAUCAUAUUGAGUAAUGUUUCCAUAAUUACAAGCAUAAUAGUGGCUUAACUCCAUGAUUUGAGUAUUUUUGCCAUUAUUUUUAAAUGCUAUUUUCCCUUUUUUAAGAAAAAAAUUGUAAAAGAGGGAGGGUGGCUUGAUUGAAUGGUUAACAAUAAUGGUCCUCACUGGUUAACAAGAUAUAAUAGUACUAAAAUAUUUUCUUUUCGGUUGGUUUGUAAUGAGGAUGGUUUCAUUUAUAUUGUUCAAAUUAACAUGCUCUUGCACGCUGAGGAAAUUAUAUUGUUUAUGCCAUAAAAGUGACUUAAUUCUAUAAAUAUGAUAUCACACUGAGUAAUUCUAGUAAUAUAACAAUUCAUUAAAAAUAAGUCGUAAACAUCCUUAAAAGAUGAUAUUUAUUCUCCAUUUUACCUGCUCAUUAGUCAUUACCCAUCUCUCUUUACCCAACCAUUACCAAUUCUUGGCUAAUAACUACCCAACUUGUAAUUGUUAAUUACUUGAUCUUUAUCUAAAAAUUUUGUAAUUGUUAAUUAUUUGAUCUUUAUCUAAAAAUUUUGUAAUUGUUAAUUACUUGAUCUUUAUCUAAAAAUUAUACAAUCUUUUACCUUACUCCUAUGACAUUUAUAUUCAUACUUUAUUUAUAUUGAACUAUGAUUGCGUAUUUUUCUAAUUUCUUGGGUUAAAAAAAAAUUGAAAAGAGAUCAUAUAUUUUGAAAUUAGAUACUUUUGAUGGCAUAACUUAACUAAAUGAAUUAUGUUACAUUAGUUUGUAGAAAAUAAAUUUAUAGAAUAGUUUAUAUGAUAAAUAAAAUAAAAAUUAAGAUGCAAACAUAUAUACAUGCAAGAAACACUUGGCCUGACUUUUUAGUCAGAUUGACUUGACCCGAAUUUUCUAAACUUUGACUUGAAUUUAAGGGUCUAGGAUCAGGCUCAAGCCUAAAUAUUAGCACCCAAUUAAAUUUAGAUUAGGGUUCAGGCCCUACAUGCUUGACCUGACCCUAAAACUUAAAAACAUUGUUUAUAUAUGUUUAUUAUUUAUAUAAUAAUAUGGUUGCGAUCUUGAGUGAUUUUUAUUUUUAUGUUACUUUAAACAAUUUCUAAAGCUUUUAUGUUACUUUAAACUUUUUAGUCAAAUGUCCAUUUUUUAAUUUUAAAUUAAUUAAAAAUUAAAAAAAUUUGAAAGCAACUAUGAUCGGGCCUAGGCUUUCAAAUAAUGUUAGAGUUGUAAAUUGCAAGAAGAACUUGUAAACGAAACAAAAACUUAGAAAAAUGACAUAGAACUUGUAAAUUGACAUUAAGUGUGAAAUGAAACAAAAAAAGUGUAAACCACACAUAAUACUAGUAAAUUGAUGGAAAAAUUGGUAAAUUAAUGUUGGAGUUGUAAAUUGCAAGAAGAACUUGUAAACAAAACAAAAACUUAGAAAAAUGACAUAGAACUUGUAAAUUGACAUUAAAUGUGAAAUGAAACAAAAAAUUUGUAAACCACACAUAAAACUAGUAAAUUAAUAGAAAAAUGGGUAAAUUAAUGUUGGAGUUGUAAUUGGCAAGAAGAACUUGUAAACAAAACAAAAACUUAGAAAAAUGACAUAUAACUUGUAAAUUGACAUUAAGUGUAAAAUGAAACAAAAAAUAUGUAAAUCACACAUAAAACUAGUAAAUUAAUGGAAAAUUGGUAAAUUAAUGUUAGAGUUGUAAAUUAUAAGAAGAACUUGUAAACAAAACAAAAACUUAGAAAAAUGACAUAGAACUUGUAAAUUGACAUUAAGUGUGAAAUGAAACAAAAAAUAUGUAAAUCACACAUAAAACUAGUAAAUUAAUGGAAAAAUUGGUAAAUUAAUAUUGGAGUUGUAAAUUGAAAGAAGAACUUGUAAACAAAACAAAAACUUAGAAAAAUGACAUAUAACUUGUACAUUUACAUUAAGUGUGAAAUAAAACAAAAAAUGUGUAAAUCACACAAAAAAUUAGUAAAUUGAUGGAAAAAUGUGUAAAUCACACAAAAAAUUAGUAAAUUGAUGGAAAAAUGAGUAAAUUAAUGUUGGAGUUGUAAAUUGUAAGAAGAACUUGUAAACAAAACAAAAACUUAGAAAAAUGACAUAGAACUUGUAAAUUGACAUUAAGUGUGAAAUAAAACAAAAAUGUGUAAAUCACACAUAAAACUAGUAAAUUGAUGGAAAAAUGAGUAAAUUAAUGUUGGAGUUGUAAAUUGUAAGAAGAACUUGUAAACAAAACAAAAACUUAGAAAAAUGACAUAAAACUUGUAAAUUGACAUUAAGUGUGAAAUAAAACAAAAAAUAUGUAAGUCACACAUAAAACUAGUAAAUUGAUGAAAAAAUUGGUAAAUUAAUGUUAGAGUUGUAAAUUAUAAGAAGAACUUGUAAACAAAACAAAAACUUAGAAAAAUGACAUAGAACUUGUAAAUUUACAUUAAGUGUGAAAUAAAACAAAAAAUGUGUAAAUCACACAAAAAACUAGUAAAUUGAUGGAAAACUUGGUAAAUUAAUGUUGGAGUUGUAAAUUGUAAGAAGAACUUGUAAACAAAACAAAAACUUAGAAAAAUGACAUAGAACUUGUAAAUUGACAUUAAGUGUGAAAUAAAAUAAAAAAUGUGUAAAUCACACAUAAAACUAGUAAAUUGAUGGAAAAAUGAGUAAAUUAAUGUUGGAGUUGUAAAUUGUAAGAAGAACUUGUAAACAAAACAAAAGCUUAGAAAAAUGACAUAAAACUUGUAAAUUGACAUUAAGUGUGAAAUAAAACAAAAAAUGUGUAAAUCACACAAAAAACUAGUAAAUUGAUGGAAAAAUUGGUAAAUUAAUGUUGGAGUUGUAAAUUGUAAGAAGAACUUGUAAACAAAACAAAAACUUAGAAAAAUGACAUAGAACUUGUAAAUUGACAUUAAGUGUGAAAUAAAAUAAAAAAUGUGUAAAUCACACAUAAAACUAGUAAAUUGAUGGAAAAAUGAGUAAAUUAAUGUUGGAGUUGUAAAUUGUAAGAAGAACUUGUAAACAAAACAAAACUUAGAAAAAUGACAUAAAACUUGUAAAUUGACAUUAAGUGUGAAAUAAAACAAAAAAUAUGUAAGUCACACAUAAAACUAGUAAAUUAAUGGAAAAAUUGGUAAAUUAAUGUUAGAGUUGUAAAUUGUAAGAAGAACUUGUAAACAAAACAAAAACUUAGAAAAAUGACAUAGAACUUGUAAAUUGACAUUAAGUGUGAAAUAAAACAAAAAAUGUAUAAAUCACACAAAAAACUAGUAAAUUGAUGGAAAAAUGAGUAAAUUAAUAUUGGAGUUGUAAAUUGUAAGAAUAACUUGUAAACAAAACAAAAACUUAGAAAAAUGACAUAGAACUUGUAAAUUGACAUUAAGUGUGAAAUUGAACAAAAAAUUUGUAAAUCACACAUAAAACUAGUAAAUUAAUGAAAAAAUAGGUAAAUUAAUGUUAGAGUUGUAAAUUAUAAGAAGAACUUGUAAACAAAACAAAAACUUGUAAAUGUUGCAUAAAACUUGUAAAUCAACAUUAACUUGUAAAAGUUUCAUAAAACUUGUAAAUCACACAUAAAAUAGUAAAUGUAACCUGGAACUUGAACAAAAAAGAGUAAUUACCUGCUACUUAGGUAACAUGUUAUCUAUUUAUUUAGAAUUAAUGGUAGAAAUUUUUUAUUCAAAUCUAACGGUUCACGUCCAUUACGGCAUCAAUGCCGUAAAUUUAGUUACGGCAUUAUAGAAUGACCCAAUUUUUAAUAUUAAAUUUAGUAGGUUAGAUUAUGAAACUUAUUACGUGUCCAUUUUAAAAUAUCUGCACUUCAGUAUAUUGAGAUAUUAGGAUAAUUACGCACAAUUGCUUCUCAAGAAAAAGAUCAAGGAUCGGGUAGACAAAAUGUGUGGUAAUUAUGGUGUGCAAGUCACCUCAAUCAUUAUUAUUAUUAUUCUAAAAGGCUACCAAAGACCCCCUCAACUUAACAUAAAAAAUAGGGCCUAAGUGAAAUAUUUAACAAAUUAUGAUAAUUAUGAAUAAAAGAUGAAGAAUUAUGAAUGCCUAUUAGAACUUAAUUGGAAGAGGAUUUGGGUUUUGCUGUCUUCAGCCUUGAAGAUUUGCAAAUGUGAAACAUCAUGGUUUGUUGUAGGCUUUAGAGAUUCUAGAUGUAGGAAACGAAGUUAUUGAGUCAAAUUGUUUUUUAGAUUAGGAUAGGGAUUCUGAAGAACAAAAUAAAUAAUUUGAUUAAAUAUAUACAUAUAGACAGACACACACACAUAGGAUAGAGUUUAAUGUGGGCUUUUUAUAAAAUAAAAUUACAAGGGACUUAAAUAAAUACAGUUAACAUUAAAAUUAACUACCUACGCCAAAUAAAUAAUUGAAUUUAGGAGGAAAGUUUAGUUCAAGGGACUCUCGCCCCCUGUGGUCACUCGUUGGAUUCAUCAAUGUUCGUACGAAUAUUGGAGCCCCUACGCACCUGCAAACCAAACAUUUUACUUAUCAGAACAAAAACGAAGGGAAGAAGGGAAUAUCGUAUAGCAAUUGGAACGGUAGCAUUCAAACAAUUUGGCUCUGAUUAAAAAUUGUAUAAUAUAAUUUGUAUCUUAUAACUUUGAAGCAUUAAUCGACUUAUUAAAUGAUUUCCCUUGCAUGGUAUUGUACCCUUGAAUUUUGCUUCUUUUCUUUAGCCGUGUGAGACACAGGAUCCCUGAUCUGGCUCAGUGCUUAUUCUCUUUAAAUGUUGAAACUAUUAUCAAUCACUUUGCUUGUCCCGGAAUUUAUUAAACUGCAGUCUUAAUUACUGACAUUUAAACGCAAAAUUCCAAGUACUUGUGUGGCACUUUUAAUUUGGUUGUCCACAAUUUAGUAAAAUUCAGAUUUCAACAUUUGUGCCUCUGUGUAUAUUUAAAUGCAGAUCAAGUCAUGGCAAGUGAACCACCUAAAAUGGUACUUGAUCUUGUUGGAGAAAAGCUUCAUCGCCCAACCCUGCACCUUCUCAAUUCAGCAUUUUCGGAGUCCCAGAUGUACUGCGCAAGUUAAAUGAAAAGGCUUACGAACCAGAAUUACUAGCAAUCGGUCCUUACCAUCACAGUAAACGUCACUUAUCGGCCUUUGAAGAGCACAAAAUCAGCUAUCAUCAAACUCUCAUAGAGCGAACGGGUAUACGUUAUGCAGAGUAUGUGAGGGCAAUGUGGGCACUGGAAGAAAGAGCUCGAAAUUGUUACGGAGGAUCCAUAAGUUUUGGCAAGAACGAGUUUGUUCAAAUGAUGUUUUGUCGAUAGUUGUUUCAUUGUUGAGGUUAUUCGUAAGUUUGGAUUGCCACAUUUGAGAGGAGAUGAUGGCCCCAUUUUUAAACAAGGAUGGAUGUUACCUCAUGUAGGAAGAGAUAUGAUUUUCCUUAACAAUCAACUUCCACUUUUCGUUGUUUGGAAGUUGUUUAUAAUGUCUGAGAUGUCUAAUAUUCCAAGGAACGAAAUUUACACUAUCAAGACAUUCAUGCUUUUAUUCUAGGAACUUUGCAUAUUUGUUGUUUGGUAGAAAAGGAGUGUCACGGAAUAGAGAAAAGUUCCACCCCACCUUUAGUCUGAUAAUAUGCCUCUCUGUUAAGUCUUUAGGUGUCUUGUUUUUAGCAUAUAUAUAGCAGAAGUCCAGCAGCUAACUCGUCCUUUACAUUGAACAAAUCUUAAUUAGCUGAGAAAAAAUUCAUAAGUUGAACAAAUAUUAAUUAGCUGAGAACUAAUCAUGAGUAGUAUUAGGGUCCGUUUGGGCUUGAGGUUGGUCAAUGUGUUUGGUAAACACUAAUCCAGGUACAUUGGUGAAAUCUUGAUCUUUGUACGACUUUUUCGUGAAUCAAUUCCUUAAAUUAGCACAAUAUUUCCCAUGAAGUUAUGCACACACCAAAUCAUGGUUCCUAUUCUAAUCUUAAUUAGACUGCAAGUAAUUCUGCUGUGCGCUCUGGCUUGUAGCAUUUUUUUUGGUCUUUAAUUUCGAAAGAUGAUAAUUAUUGUUAAUUCUUGAAUCACAUUUCAGGCAAGAUGUCGGGAACUGCCUUUACAUGAAGAGAAAGGCAUUAUAUGGCAAGUUUUCGCAGAAAGGUGUUGGGAAAAUAUGCUCUUUAAAAGCAUAUGUGUUUAUUUAAUUGUAAUAAACAUUUUUUCUGAUUAAUAAAAUAAAUGAGGUAUUUUAUUCAAAUAUCUUAAUUGCAUUAAUAUUUGUAUUAAAGUCCAUUUAAUCAUAUUAUAUGUAUUUAUGUGAUCACUAUGUGGAUUCACAGAAGACAUAAAUACAAGUUAUCUUAUGAUUAAAUAAAUUUAGUUCGCAGUUGAUAAAUAAAGUUGGGCACUUUAUUUAGGUAUAGACUGUAAUAAAUUCAUUGAAUGAUUUGUCUUAAUCAUGUAUGAAUUUAUUGAUGUAGUACGACUACAUUGAACAGGAUCACAUAUGAGAUUUAAUUAACUUUGUAAUAACUGUCAGACUUAUUAAAUCUCAUAGGCGUUGAUUUUACUGUAAUCUUAAUCUUGAGUUAAUUAUGAUUUCAUGAUUGUGAUUGUUAUUUCAUUUGAGUUACCAAUGGGCACGACACAUCCUUGUGGUCAAGAUUACCCGGUAUCUUGGUGGGAGCAAUUAUGAGUAUUGGAGUUAUGGAUUAACAAUAUAGAAUUUGUACAACACAUCUCUUGAUAGGUUUUCGGUACUUGAUCAUAAAAUUCUCUGGCCAGAGUGUAUCAACAUAUUUAGUAUGUUGAAAAUGAUCAUUAGAGAAAACCAGUAAGGAUCAAUGAAUAAGAUGUUAUUAAAUUGAUUGGACAGUUGAGAUAUCAAUUUAAUUAACGAUGUGGUACAAAGGAUUGUGCAGUAAAGAAAUCAAUGUGGCUUGGGACGAAUUAUUAUUCGAGCAUACAAUUAUGGAAGUCAGUUCCAAUCUUUUAGUGGAGUAGAUUUGGAAUUAAAUAAUUGGGCUAGUUUAAUUACAGGCCUAAUUAUUGUAGCCACUAUUGUAUGUUCCCAAAUGAUCCCCGGGUUAGCUCAUUUAAUUGACUGCACCACUACUGGACUAAUAAGUAAGAUAACUAGCUAUUUGGGUCAAAAGCCUAAAUAUAUCAUUUAGUGGGAGGCUCCAUUUAAUUAGCUUUUGUAUAAUGGGCCUUAUGUUAUUUUACAAGGUGGGUCCCCUAUUGAAAAAGAAAAUAACGUGAGUUUUAUGAAGGGUAUUACUAGGAGCCUAGGGUUUUCACUAAAGGGUGAUAUAAAAGGCUUAUUUUUCCCAAAAGAAAAAAGAGAAGCCACUUUAUAUAAAUCAGAGAAUAAGAUUUUUCUCUCCAUUGUUGAGAGAAAAAUUUUCUCGUGCUAGUUGCUUUGGUAGUGAUAAAGGCGCCCACACGUCAAGUGCAGAUCGAACCUGAGUCAUAACCUGGAAGAUCAUAGGAGACAGUUCGUGAUCUAACAAGCGUGGUGGUGACGGAUCGUGAUCUAACAGGAGUGGUGGUGGCGGAUCGUGAUCUAGGAGCCUAAAUCACUUCAGCGGAAAAAGCAAACUCAGAUUUACAAGGUACGAUUUCUAGAAUACGAAUUCUUAUAUAUUAUAUGAGAGCGAUCUUCAAAAGGUUUUAUAAAAAAUUAAAAAUCUAAUUUUUCCCCAACAAUUGGUAUCAGAGCCAUCUCAUAUUAAUAUAUAAGAAUUUCGUAUGAAAUCAUUCUUGAAAUUUAUGUAUUAGAGUGGCACAAUUUAUUCAGAUAUAUAUUAAUUGUUUAAUAUAUGAAUAAAGCAUGUUUUGGUUUGUCUUAAUUCAUGGUUAGAUUUUCCGUUGUAUUUUUCGUUUGGAUCUGUAACAAGAGGGGUGGCUUUUUAUCACCAUAAUUCCCUCUUGAUUUAUUUUACUGUAAUUGAAAUUUUGUAAGCCAAAAUUUGCGUUGAAAAUUUGUAAAUCACCGAAGCAUCAUCACUGGAAAACGAGCGCAAACAAUGGAGGACGGAAAUUUCAGCAACGGCCAGCAGCACACGCUGCUGUGCGAACAGCGCGCGGCCCGCGUGGGCAGCAACGCGCGCUGCACGCCCAGCAGUUGCCGCGUGCGCGCUGCAAGCCCGCAGAGCACGCUGUGACCAGCAGCUGCAGCGUGCAACCAGCAGCGUGAGCAAGGGCUUCUAGUUGCACGCGCGGGUUUGAUGCGUUUCCGGCGAGGCGGCAGCGGUUGGAGAUGUGUCGGAGAUCGGCGGCUGUCCGGUGUGAAACAGUGAACAAUGGUUGGAUGCCUUUGUGAUGAUGGCGGCUGGGGAAAGAAAAAUAUGGAUUUAGGGUUUCAUGGCUUUUGUCAUGGAGGUCCCUAUGGUUCCAUAAUUUUUUAUUUGGGCAGUCAAGUUUUAAUUUUUUGCAUUUAAGUCUAAAAACAGUUUUGGGCUUAAAGAAUCCUAGUUUUAGGCCCAAUUUCAAUUAGGCUUAAUGGAUUAAAAAUGCAUAGAUAAAAUUAAAUACAUUAAAUUUAUUUUUGGUCCAAAAGUUUUAUUUUAAUAAAAAUAAAAUUAAAACUAUUUAUUUUAUUUCAAAAUUAAAAUUGGACCAAUUAUAAAUUUAAAAGCCCAAUUUCCCCUAGUCCAUUAACAAAGACAAACUUAUGGAAGAUGGACAUUGACAAGAAGCCCAAUGAAGAUUAGGCUUAGGGUUAAUGUAUUUUUCAUUACUAGGAAAGCCAUGAAUUAAGAUUAUUUAAUUGUUUUUCUAUAUGUUAUGUUUUGGAUGAUAACAUGCCAUGAUAACAUGCCAUGAUAACAUGUCAUAUAGAAUAGGUAGUGCCACUCUAUGCAUAAUGAUACAUGUCAUUCAUUAAUAAUGAAUUUCAUUAUAUUGUUUGAAAUUUGUAUAUGCUUAAUAAUAUUUGAUAUCAUCUAGAUAAUAUUAUAGGAAGCAUGCAAUUAACAAUAUGUAUGUUUUAAAUAGGAAAAACCAAUUUUAAAAUAUUGAGUGGGAGAGGGAAAAUUCAAGAUAAUUUUCCCACGGGCUCCAUUGUUAGUUCAAUAAUAAAAUUAUAUAUAUACCUCGACUUCAUGAUACGGUGAUGCUCCCUACGGAGGGUAUAUAUAUUAGAUAUUUUAUUUGAUGAACUUCUUCAAAGAUAAAAUUGAAAUAUUUUUCAAUCGAUUGCUCACCCCAACGGUGACUAUUGAUAUGAAAAAUAUGUAGAUUGAAAUAAUGGUUAUACACUCAACUAAAAUUUGUUAUUAACCUUCCCAACGAAGCUCUGUUAACAAAUUUAGGCCCAAAAGGAUAACGAUAAUUAUUUAUCAUGUCUCUACAUGAAAGUAAAUAAUCCAAUGGAUAAUUGGGUCUAGUAAGUGUAGACAUGACUUCCCCAACGGAUAGCUUGUCAAAGCGGUACUAGAUUAUCGUUACAAUAAAUUAAAAUGCAUUUAUGGUUUUUUGCAUUUUUGUCAUUUAUUGUGAAUAUUAUUUCAAAUUAUUUAUGCAUGGAUGUUUUAUUUUUCAGAAAAUGUCUUCCCUGAGCCCACUUACUAUUAUUCUGAGUCAAAACAAACUCACUGGAGAGAACUAUAUAGAUUGGAAAAGAAAUCUAUUCAUUGUCCUGACUGCUGAAAAUUAUAAAUAUGUCUUAACCCAGCCAUGCCCUCCAGUUCCAGCAGAUGAUGCUCAUAGAAAUCAGAGGAGGCUUUAUGAGAAAUGGCAAAAGGCCAAUGAAAUGGCAAAGUGCUACAUUUUAGCCUCGAUUUCUAAUAUUCUGCAGACCAAACAUCAGAACUUAGAGACUGCCACUGAAAUAAUGGAUAGUCUCCAACAGAUGUUCGGGCAGAGUACUCGCUCUGCGAGACAAGCAGCGCUGAAAGGAAUUAUGAACAGUAAAAUGGGGAAGGGCACAAGAGUUCGUGAUCAUGUCCUCAAAAUGAUGGACUAUUUGAAUGAGGCUGAGAUUCAGGGAGCACAAAUCGAUGAUAACUCAAAGAUUGACAUGGUGCUAGAAUCUCUGCCAGAAACAUUCAAGGAGUUUAAGGUCAAUUAUAACAUGAACAAAAGAAACAUGACCUUAACUGAAUUGAUGAACGAACUUCAUUCUGCUGAAGAGAUCUAUCGUGCUGAGAAAUCUCUGGGAAGCAUAAAUAUUACUGAAAAAAGUUCAUCUUCUGGGCCUAAGCCGAAAGGCAAAGGUAAGAAGAAAGCUGGGAAAAAGAGACCGUCUACCAAGCAAGAUGGCAAGCCGAAAGGCAAAUGCUUCAAGUGUGGACAGAAAGGUCACUGGAAAAAGGAUUGCCCUAAGAUUGUGAAAUCAGGUAUGGGAAAUCUUUUUGUAAUUGAGGCCUGUUUAGUUCAGAAUCCUAUUGACACUUGGGUGUUGGAUUCAGGAGCAACUAAUCAUAUUUGUAAUUCACUUUAUUGGUUUCAGGAAACCAGGAAAAUAAGUGAAGGAAGCGUCAAGCUGCAGUUAGGGACAGGACAGUUCGUGUCAGCAGUGAAGACUGGAUCUGUUUUAUUAUCUUUUAAUAAUGAGACUUUAGUUUUGAAUAAUUGUCUUUAUGUUCCAGACAUUAAGAGGAAUUUAAUUUCAGUAGCUUGUUUGUCAAAGCAAGGGUACACUGUAAAUUUUGGAUCCUCUGUUUCUAUUUUUCAAAAUAAGAGACUUAUUUGUUCUGGUACAUUGGAAGAUAAUUUAUAUCAUUUAAGUCCAAUGAUCCAUUCUAUGCAUGACACAGUGAUAAAUAAUGAUGAGCAUACACACUUAUCUAAGAAAAGAAAUAUUUCUUCCAACCAAUGUUACCUCUGGCAUUUACGCUUGGGUCAUAUAAACCAAAAUAGGAUACAGAGAAUGAUCAAAGAUGGGCUCUUGGGUCCAUUAGAAAAUGAAUCAUUGCCACUCUGUGAAUCCUGUUUAGAAGGGAAAAUGACCAAAAGGCCAUUCUCGGCCAAAGGAGUACGUGCAACAGUACCACUUGAAUUGGUACAUACAGAUGUAUGUGGACCAAUCAAUGUACAAGCUCGAGGAGGUUAUGAGUAUUUCAUCACUUUUACUGAUGAUUACUCAAGAUACGGUUAUGUUUAUCUGAUGCGUCAUAAGUCUGAAGCUCUUGAGAAAUUCAAAGAGUAUAGGGCUGAGACAGAAAAGCAAUUAGAUAAGAACAUAAAGAAACUUCGAUCUGAUCGAGGUGGUGAAUUUCUCUCAGGAGAUUUCAAAGAGUAUCUGGUUGAAAAUGGGAUUAUAUCUCAAUUGACUGCCCCGGGAACACCACAACAAAAUGGGGUAGCUGAAAGAAGAAAUAGAACUCUUUUGGAUAUGGUGAGAUCUAUGCUUAGUUAUUCGUCAUUACCAAUCUCUUUUUGGGGAUUAGCACUGGAAACUGCAGUUUACCUUUUGAACUUAGUUCCAUCUAAGUCAGUGCCUAAAACCCCAAUAGAAUUAUGGUCAGGUCGCAAACCAAGUUUACGACAUGUCCGUAUUUGGGGAUCACCAGCACAUGUGCUGAAACCAAAGGCAGACAAAAUGGAUUCACGUUCUGAGGUUUGUAUGUUUGUGGGGUAUCCCAAAGGAACAAGGGGAGGUUUAUUUUAUAGUCCUCAAGAUAGGAAAGUGAUAGUGAGCACACAUUUCACUUCCCUCGAGGAAGACUAUAUGAAUAACUUCAAACCUAAGAGUAAGGUAAUACUUGAAGAACUGUCAGGUGAUCAGGUUGAUGCUCAGCUUUCAAUGCCUGUUACAGAACAGGAAGAACAGCAACAACCAGAUGAUCAACACAGGAUUAACCCUGAACAACCAUCACUUUUAGAACCUCGUCGUAGUGGGAGGGUAACUAGGUUACCUGCGAGAUACAUGCUUUUGGGAGAAACCUAUAUGGCUAUCUCAGAUGAACAUGUACAAGAUCCCACUAGUUACAACGAAGCUCUAAUAGAUAGAGAUGUUGAAUUUUGAAAAAGGCCAUGAAUCAAGAAAUGGAAUCUAUGUAUUCCAAAAAAAAAGUCUGGGAACUUGUAGAAGCGCCAAAUGGGGUAAAACCUAUAGGGUGCAAGUGGAUCUACAAGAGAAAAAGAGGAGUAGACGGAAAUGUGGAAACAUUUAAAACAAGAUUAGUAGCCGAAGGGUUUACUCAGAAAGGAGGAAUCAAUUAUAAGGAAACCUUUUCUCCGGUUGCUAUGCUUAAAUCCAUCAGGAUUCUGCUCUCCAUUGCUGCAGUGCUAGAUUAUGAAAUUUGGCAAAUGGAUGUCAAGACUGCCUUUCUUAACGGGCAUCUUGAAGAAAACAUCUACAUGCAGCAACCAGAUGGAUUUAUACAAAAAGGCCAAGAACACAUGGUAUGUAAGUUGCAGAGAUCAAUUUAUGGAUUGAAGCAAGCAUCCCGGUCAUGGAACAUCAGAUUUGAUCAAGCGAUAAAAUCGUUUGGAUUCAUUCAGAACAUUGAUGAACCAUGUGUGUACAAGAAAAUUCAAGAAAAAUUUGUAACCUUCCUAAUUCUUUAUGUAGACGAUAUUCUUCUAAUUGGAAACGAUAUAGGAGUGUUGACUACAAUAAAGAGUUGGUUAGCAGAACAAUUUGAUAUGAAAGACCUGGGAGAGGCAAGUUAUAUUCUUGGUAUCAAGUUACCACGAGACCGGAAGAAUAAAACUUUAGCCUUGUCUCAAGCGGUCUAUAUCGAUAAGAUAUUGGCUAGAUUUAGCAUGGAAAAUUCCAAGACUGGUUUAUUACCAUUCAGACAUGGAAUUACAUUCUCUAAGGAUCAAUCACCUAAAACAUCUGAAGAGAUAGAGAGAAUGAGACGAGUUCCCUAUGCAACACCUGUGGGAAGUCUCAUGUAUGUCAUGCUUUGCACUAGGCCAGACAUCUGUUUUGCGAUAGGGAUGGUUAGUCUAAUCCUGGACCUGAACACUGGACUGCGGUCAAGCAUAUAAUGAAGUAUCUGAAAAGAACUUAAAAUUAUAUGCUUGUGUAUUCUGGUGAUAAACUUAUUCUAGUGGGUUAUACUAAUUCUGAUUUUUUGUCAGAUAAGGAUUUUAGAAAAUCAACUUCCGGCUAUGUGUUUACAAUGGGAAGUGGAGCUAUUAGUUGGAUGAGUGUGAAACAAUCUUGUAUCACAGACUCAAUAACUAAAGCUGAAUAUGUGGCUACAUCUGAAGCUGCAAAGGAAGCUAUAUGGCUCUGCAAGUUCCUACGAAAUCUUGAGGUGGUACCUGUUGUAACUGCACCCCUUAAACUAUUAUGUGAUAAUGGUGGUGCGGUAGCUCAAUCUAAGGAACCAAGGAACCACAAGAAACAAAACAUAUUGAAAGGAAGUAUCAUCUUAUAAGGGAAUAGUGUAGAAAGGUUAUAUGACAGUACCCCAAAUGGUAUUAGAUGCUAAAUGACAGAUCUUAUUACAAUGGCCAUUAGUGGGAAACCUUUAUAACCUACACUUAGAGCCCUAGAGCAUGUGCAAUAUGCCAGAUAUGCUUUGAGAGCUAGUGGGAGAUUGUUGGGAAAAUAUGCUCUUUAAAAGCAUAUGUGUUUAUUUAAUUGUAAUAAACAUUUUUUCUGAUUAAUAAAAUAAAUGAGGUAUUUUAUUCAAAUAUCUUAAUUGCAUUAAUAUUUGUAUUAAAGUCCAUUUAAUCAUAUUAUAUGUAUUUAUGUGAUCACUAUGUGGAUUCACAGAAGACAUAAAUACAAGUUAUCUUAUGAUUAAAUAAAUUUAGUUCGCAGUUGAUAAAUAAAGUUGGGCACUUUAUUUAGGUAUAGACUGUAAUAAAUUCAUUGAAUGAUUUGUCUUAAUCAUGUAUGAAUUUAUUGAUGUAGUACGACUACAUUGAACAGGAUCACAUAUGAGAUUUAAUUAACUUUGUAAUAACUGUCAGACUUAUUAAAUCUCAUAGGCGUUGAUUUUACUGUAAUCUUAAUCUUGAGUUAAUUAUGAUUUCAUGAUUGUGAUUGUUAUUUCAUUUGAGUUACCAAUGGGCACGACACAUCCUUGUGGUCAAGAUUACCCGGUAUCUUGGUGGGAGCAAUUAUGAGUAUUGGAGUUAUGGAUUAACAAUAUAGAAUUUGUACAACACAUCUCUUGAUAGGUUUUCGGUACUUGAUCAUAAAAUUCUCUGGCCAGAGUGUAUCAACAUAUUUAGUAUGUUGAAAAUGAUCAUUAGAGAAAACCAGUAAGGAUCAAGGAAUAAGAUGUUAUUAAAUUGAUUGGACAGUUGAGAUAUCAAUUUAAUUAACGAUGUGGUACAAAGGAUUGUGUAGUAAAGAAAUCAAUGUGGCUUGGGACGAAUUAUUAUUCGAGCAUACAAUUAUGGAAGUCAGUUCCAAUCUUUUAGUGGAGUAGAUUUGGAAUUAAAUAAUUGGGCUAGUUUAAUUACAGGCCUAAUUAUUGUAGCCACUAUUGUAUGUUCCCAAAUGAUCCCCGGGUUAGCUCAUUUAAUUGACUGCACCACUACUGGACUAAUAAGUAAGAUAACUAGCUAUUUGGGUCAAAAGCCUAAAUAUAUCAUUUAGUGGGAGGCUCCAUUUAAUUAGCUUUUGUAUAAGGGGCCUUAUGUUAUUUUACAAGGUGGGUCCCCUAUUGAAAAAGAAAAUAACGUGAGUUUUAUGAAGGGUAUUACUAGGAGCCUAGGGUUUUCACUAAAGGGUGAUAUAAAAGGCUUAUUUUUCCCAAAAGAAAAAAGAGAAGCCACUUUAUACAAAUCAGAGAAUAAGAUUUUUCUCUCCAUUGUUGAGAGAAAAAUUUUCUCGUGCUAGUUGCUUUGGUAGUGAUAAAGGCGCCCACACGUCAAGUGCAGAUCGAACCUGAGUCAUAACCUGGAAGAUCAUAGGAGACAGUUCGUGAUCUAACAAGCGUGGUGGUGACGGAUCGUGAUCUAACAGGAGUGGUGGUGGCGGAUCGUGAUCUAGGAGCCUAAAUCACUUCAGCGGAAAAAGCAAACUCAGAUUUACAAGGUACGAUUUCUAGAAUACGAAUUCUUAUAUAUUAUAUGAGAGCGAUCUUCAAAAGGUUUUAUAAAAAAUUAAAAAUCUAAUUUUUCCCCAACAAAAGGUUUGUCCAUUUUCCUUUUUGCUGCAAUUCUGCAUUCUCAACGAAAGUAGUAUAGCAGUUUAUGCAGGCUUUCUACAUUUUUUUUUUUUCAGUUUCGGAGGAUUUGGUGGCAAAUUGAAAAGGAAACAGAGCAAGGUUACAACGUGCUACUGCAUGAUUUAUUUAUAUCUGGACACUAUUUUAAUGAAAAUACGAAUCUUGGCUAAGCAUUGUUCUCAAAUGGAACGCGAGUGAGAAAAGACAGCUGUUAGGUUCAUCAAGUCAACAAUUCUAUUAAUCUUUGCAAUACAUCAUUGCAUAUAUUUGCAAAUGACUUAAUGACAAAAUCAGUCAGCUGUAAAUUGUUAAAUCGUUUGUGUUUGAUUCAGAGCUACAUCAUCUGAAAGAAUCCUUUGGUCCUUCAAAUGAGUUGAUCAUCUCCCUUCAACGUAGCAACCAACGUAAAACCAUUAACAAUGGUACCUUGUCUAGCACACUGCAACAAGAAGCACAAUUUUUAGCUUCUUACAACUAUGAGAAGAACACUUUGUGGGGAAAACAGGCAAGUAAUAACCUCUGGGAAAACAUUGGGAUGCCGUUAAUAUUAUUAAGCAGAUACUGAUUAUGUCAUUGAAUCUUUGCUUUUGGUUUCAAACCAGAUAGGAUACUUGUACAAAUCUCUGAUAGAAGAUUAUUUUACCGGAUUGAUUUUGCACUGCAAAGGAUGGAAAUCCGUCUUUUGCAAUCCAUCACGGUCAGCAUUCUUAGGAAGUGCUACAUCAAGUUUGAAUGACACAUUGGUUCAAGACACAAGAUGGAACUGCGGUUUGCUUGAAGUCACCUUCUCAAAGUGCUCCCCUCCUCUUUAUGGGCUAUCAAGAAUGCCUUUGCUUCAAACAAUGUGCUAUAGCUACUAUGCUUUGCAGCCAUUCUAUUCCUUGCCGUUGUGGUGUUUAGCUUCUGUGCCUCAGCUGUGUCUCAUAAAUGAAAUUUCCUUGUACCCAAAGGUAACCAUUUCUAAAUCUAGAUUAGGAGGGAAUUUGGAAAUGCUUUGUCUUAUUGAUAUGUCUAAAACAUUGUAACUAUUUAUUUCUCUUCUACUCAGGUUUCAAGUCCAUGGUUUGUGAUCUUUUCAUCUAUUUUCUUAUGUUCACUACUGAAACAUUUGGUGGACGUUCUCGUCACCGGUGGUUCAGUCCAGACGUGGUGUAAUGAACAGAGGAUUUGGAUGAUAAAAUCACUCACUUGAAAUGUUUUUGUAUGAAACAACCUAGUUUCUCGCCCACAAAUAAACUUUCCGAUGAUGAACAAGUCAAGUUACACAAAAUGGGUAAAUUCAACUUCCAAACCUCAACCAAGUUUCUUGCUCCUUUAGCUACCCUAGUCAUGUUGAAUAUGAUUGCUUUUAGUGGAGGAAUUGCUAGAAUGGUGAUUUCGGGGGGCGCAAACGAGUUGCUUGGACAAGUUAUCCUCUCAUUUUACAUCUUACUGGAGAGUUACCCAAUAAUUGAAGGGAUGGCAUGGAGGAAGGAUAAAGGGCAAGUCCCAGCUUCUGUUGGGUUACUCUCUUUUGUUCUCUCCAUCAUUUUCUUGCUUUUGGGUUCCGUGGUUCUCAGGUUAAUUUGAAUUGUGCUAGAGGUUCAGAAUAAAAGCGAAAGGUCACAAUUAUGUGCUUCAUUUUUGAAAUAGUUAAUGCCCCCAUUAACUUCUUAUUGCUUUCAAAUGAUGCCGAUAAAGGCAACAGCCCUGUUUCACAGGAUGACCUAAUAAGAACAAAAUUGCAAAAUACUGGCACCUAUUGCUUAAUUGAAGGUCCUUGCGCUUGUUCAUGACACACUUAAGCUCAUUGACUGGGGGCACAAGAAAUUUCGAUACCUUGCAUAUCACCACUUAAUUUUGUUAAUUCAAAUUAAUUCUUGUUCCUUAUGCUGAAGUACAAACGAUUUAUAUUAACCAUUCAAUCAUUUUUCAUCUCUAAUUUCACCAUUUCACCAUUUCAUUUGGAAACAAUUUCACUUUAUAUUAACACCAAGUGCCCUUUUUUAUUCAAUUGAAUAUGCCACUCACAAUGCCCUUUCGUAAACAACCCAAUGCCCGAAAGAUUACAUCUCUCCUUGCUUCCAACGUACUGCAGCAAGAGACCGAAGUUUUAGCCUCCUGCAGUUACGAGCAUCAAACAAAAUGGGGUAAAGAGGCAAGCAACAAGCACAUCAUCUUAUCAACUUAAACAUAGUCAAGUCUUAAUUGCAUUACUAAAUCAUUAUCACAUGCCAUCACAUUACAUCUCUCCUUGCUUUCGAAAUCAGGUGGGUUUUUCGUAUCAAGCUGUUUCGGAAGAUUUCUUUAAUAGCAUUCUAUAAGAGAGAUUGUAUCAUUUUGAAGUUUGAAAUUUUGGAAGAAAACGGCUAUUGAAAUACUUUAUUUUAUUUUAAUAAUUAUGUUUAAACAUACCAAUUAAAAGAUAGUGUUAAGUGAUGCUAAUAUUAUCAUAUCGAAACAUCACGGUCUAUGCAAUUUAUUAAAUUUCAUCACUCAUACUCUUAAACUAAAUAUCAUCUCGGUCAAUAAAAUGAUGUCAAGUUAAACCUCUAUCUAUGUUAGGACAAUACAAUUUGUUAAUAUGAAAGAUCUAAAAGAGUGACGAUUGCUAUCAAUUAUGCCAUUACUGAAGUUAAAUCAUCAAAAGAAGUCUCAUUGUUCAAUUCCCUUUUCAUUAUUCUAAUCUAAGAAGCUCGAUCAAAAUUUAAUCAAUAAAAAUAAAUCAAAAGUCUAACAAAUUUUUACAAUUGUAAGGUUCUCACCAUUAGGUUAGUUGUUAUUGUUACUCCUAUUUAGAACCUAAGGUUGUUUAAGCAUAUUUUAGGUAUUAGAUGUUUUAAGUCCCCUCCUUCCAGACUUGGGAUUCUUAGAAACAACAAAAUAUGAUAAUAUUAUUGAAAAUAAGGGAAUUGCUAAAAGAUUAGCCUCUUUUGAAUGGUUUGGUUCUCAAUACAAGAUGUGAAGAAUACAAUGGAUAAUUACUUCAAAAUAGAGUGGAAGGAUCUUAAUAUAAUAAAAAAGUAACGCAAAGUUAUACUUUCUACCAUAUUGGGUAGUAAAAGGAUGAUAAUGAAAAUAAUUGGAUAGACACUAAAUAUAUAUGAUAUUUAUUCCUAUAUAAGAGACAAUUAAGUCUAGUAUGAAAGUUGGAAGUGUAACGGUGGAACAUACAUGUGCCCUCAAAUUGAGGGCACAAUUUCUUACCACCAUUAUUAUCUUAGACAUUUGAAUAAAGAAAAAUGAUAUUUGAGUAUUAAGAAGACAUUGCAAAGAUAGAAAGGACAGCUUUAUAGCAUGAACAAUAGCACUGUUUUUAUCUUCUUAGGCCAUGUUUGAAUGCUAGGAUUAAGUAAGAGAUUGAACUAAUUUUGAAAUUAAAUAUUUAUUUCAUAUUUGGCAAGCAGAGUUGGAUCGAACUAAGGAGGACUAAAUUUAAAUUUAGUCUUCAAAUCGUGAGAUUUGUAAUCUUAAUAUACUCAUGGAUUUAUUAGAAUAAAAUUAAGGAAAAAAGAAAGUUGUCCAUUUAUAAAAGUUUCAUUCAUAACAUUAUUUUUUAUUUAUACCGAAUAUCAAUCAAUCAAAUAAUUAAUUAAUUUUUUUUAUUUAUGAUUUACUUAAAAUUUAUUUUUUUAUUUAUUAUCUAUGAUCUAAUUAAAUUGGUAGUUUUACUUCUACUAGAUUAAAUUUUCAUUACUUGCAUUUAAUAAUUUUUCUAUAAAAUUAACCACUUAAUAAUUUAUUGCAUUAUUGAUUGUAAUAAAUUUAAUAAUCACUAAUACAAUACUAAAUUGAUCUUUUCACACUUUUAGUAGAUAAAUUAAAAAUUGUCUCUAAGUAGGGGUACCCUUUCUCAAAUCCUUUUUAGAGUUGACCAUGGCGAUAAAAUGGAGAGUUAAGAGCAUAACAAAGUCAAGAAAUAAAUGAAAAUAUAUUAAAAUUUGAUGUUGAAGAUCAGCCUUAGGACAUAAAAUUACACAGCACAGAUCUAGGCUCUUGAAUUUCAUACGACUCGUCUUUUCUGAAGUAUAAAUAUAAAUAAGAGACUAUGUAAAAUUUCUAGAUAGGGCCAAUCAAAGAGACAUCAAAUUUAAGGUUGAUUUAUAAUUAAUUAAUUAAUGCUUCGUUGAACUUACUUUAAACAUAAAUCAAGGGGUAUGUAGAUUACUUCAGUGAAUACAAUAAAGGAUGAGAAACUCACAGUAUAUUUUGUGUUCAUUUCCUUUGGUGAUUCACAUCCUUAUCUCGCAUUAUUCUCGAUUGUUCUUGGCCCAAGCCUUCUAGAGGCUCUCAUGUCAACCUCAUUUGCAGCAAAUCUUCGAUUACGGUUUCCCCGCCAAAACCACUUCUAUGGGGCAUUCUGUCGAACACCUAUGGACAUAUAUCAAACACCAUACUUUUAACUGUUACUAAUGUUGUGUAUGAUACAAUAAGCAUGGCAACCACAAAUUCAAUUGCUUUGCUCUUGUUGAAAAUAAGAAAGAACUGCAAACAGAGCUUGCACCAUCGUUAGGAGAAGUAUGGCAAAAGCAGCAAGAACGGAGAUGAUUGCCCACGGAGUGUUGAAAUAAUUGUGCCUCAAAUUGGCCAUCCACUUAUUACGACGCCUGCUGCGAUGGAAGUUCACUUUGUUAAAUACCUCCCAGUAAUAGAACUGCUUACCGAGUACAGCACCAUCACCAAGCUUGUGAAUUAAGGUUACAAUCACUUCAUCAUCUCCUAAAAAAUUAUCAAUUAUUCCACGAUGACGAAGUAAUUCAGCAUCCUUUGAAGAGUUGAUGAGGCAGCCCAACAAUUCAACAUAAUCUAUUACAUGCUUCGGAUUUAUGUCUUGGGAACACUGCUCAAAUGUAAUGAGAUUCUGAAAAAUGGUUUCUGUAGCAUCAGUAAUUUCCAGGGAUGGGAUCAUCAUUACCCCAUUUUCGAACUUAAUGUCGAACAAGGAAUCAUCCUUAUGGACCUCAAACAUCUGGAACUGGAUUCCAGCCUCUUGAAUGCCAGUGGCAGAACAAAUGAAGCUCCAGUCACUAUUCUUUUUGCCAUUAUUCCGAAAUGCUUCAAUGCCUGAUGGAAGCCAGUUGUCGUGUAUCAAAUGGACUAGAUGUUUGAUUUCAUUUAUGGGAUAGAGAUUAUCUCGACGAACAGUAUCUUUUCGACAGCCCUUUCCUGGUAAUAUGCCAUUGAAAAAACGCAGGAUCAUGAGAAGAAAUUUAUCACUAUCUUGAUCAUUAGGCAUCUUAGUCAUGGUAAACAACUCCCAGAGAACAAAAAAUGGAAGUUGAUUCUCAAGCAAAAUCAUAUCUCGUGCUAUGGAAGGUAACAUCCAACUCAGUUCAAAAAUUGGGUCAUUUCCUCUCAAACGUGUCAAUGCAAACUUACGAAUAACCUCAACGAUAAAACAACCAUCGAGAAGCAUCAUUAGCACAAACUUAUCUGUCUCUAAACUUAGGGACCCUCCAUAACAAUUUUUAGCUCUUUCUUCCAUUGCCCUCAUGGCUAUGACAUAGUCUGGCAAAGGCUUGCUCGUACGGUCUAGAAGUUCUCUGAGAUAGCGUGUUUUGUGCACCUCAAAGGUCGAUAAUUCUUCUUUACCGUGAUGAUAAGGACCAAUUGCUAGCAUUUUUGGUUCAUAAGCCUUUUCAUUUAACUUACGCAGUACAUCAGGCACCUUAAAAAUGUUGAACCGAUCAGAUGGUGUAGCAGUUAGACCACUAAGCUUUUCCUCAACAAGAUGAAGUACUGUGUCAGCUGAUGGACUUGCCAUGCCUUGAUCUGCAUUUUAAGUCGCAGGAUCAAAAUUUCAAAAAUGUUGAAAUCUGUAUUAUCCAUAAUUGUUGACAACCACAGAAGACAUAAGUACUUGAAUUUUUCAUAAAAGCUACUAUGAUUGUCAGGAAUUAUGUUUGAAUUUUAAUAAAUUCCGAUGUGUACUAGCUAACACCUAGUGAUAGAUAAUAGUUUCGACAUCUAAGAAUUAUAGUUACAGCACUACUUGCACAACAGGAGGGAGUGAAACAAAAUCAUCAAUAUUCAACAAUAACCCAUUAAUAGAAUGACCAAAAACAACUCAAAAAGUUAUAUAUCUGUUUCGAUUUCAAUUCUUUAUAUCCUUAUUAAUAGUUCCUACAGCACUAAGCCAGAUCAUGGAUCUCCACUGUCACACGACUAAAGAAACUAAGCAGAAUUCACACGAAGUCGAUUAAUGCUUCAGAGUUAUAAGAUAUAUAUUAUUCUAAACAAUUUUGUAAUUAACUUACUCGUUUGAAGGCUACCGUUCCUAUUGCUUAACGAGAUCGCAAUCUUACCGGUGCAAUGACGAAAUCCCAGUCUUGCCGUUGCAAGGAAUUCGAUCCUUUGUUUUCUUUUGAUGAAAUAAAGUAGAAUGUUUACUAAUAAUACAAAGGAGACUAUAAGAAGACUUCGUUAUUUCUCACUCGCUGAUUCUAGAUUCGACAUGUGUCCCAUAACAUAUCUUUUAUAUUUACGGAAAAGCACACUCGUAUUUUUGUCUACAUCUUUCUCGUAUAAACAGUAUAUGUGUUAGAUCAACACGGGAUAUAUUUUAUAUUAAUUAUAAAAUAGAAAGAUCCUUUAUCUUUUGCAUCAUUAUUUUAAUAAAAAAUACUAAACGCAGGAAAUAAUGAGAGAAUACCGAAAAAAACGACAACUUAUGCUGCCAUUUCAAGUGCUCUCUCACCAUUCCCCCACAUGACCCACACUUUUCCUUCUUCUUUUUUUCACUUUGGCACACGUAAACUCUACUCCACUUAUUCUUUUGUUCUCUCCCCACGCGAACUCCACUUUCCUUUUUACUCAUCUUUUUCCCCCACUUUCCCUUUUGCCAAAGUUGCUUCAACAAAGCAUCACCAGUUAAGGAGUCAGCCCGAAGAAGCUCUUCCCCAGUGUGUAUCCUGAAACAAACAACACUAUCAUCAACACAAUAAACAAAAGAAAAGGCGAAAGUAACUGUUUGAAAUAUGAAGUUUGCAGAACAAAGGAGGUUUAGAGUCAAAUCUGUAACUUCGACUAAUUCCUCUCACUCCUCUCCCCCUCUCGCUCUGUUUUUCCUCUCACUCCAGCAGCAGCUUUACCAAUUCUCCGUCUCCCCUCUCGCUCCAGCUGCAGCUUCGUCUCCAUCUCCCCUCUCGCUCCUACACCUCUCGCUCGCUACUCAUCUCCCUCGUGCGCUACUACUCCAGAUCUACUCGGUGGUCGCUGUUCUCAGUGGUCGGCUGUCGCUGCUCGGUGGUGCUGCUUGCUGGUCCUCGUCUCCCUCAUCUCUCUCCAUCUCACUCUCUCCGUUUGGUUUGUAAUUAUUUUUUGAUAAUUAAUUUUUUAUAAUUGUUGAUAAUUUUAUCAGGCAAUUAUUUUGUUCAGUGAUUAUUUUAUUGGGAAUUAUUUUGGUAAUUGUAUUGUUGAUAAUUAUUUUUUGAUAAUUACUUUUUGAUAAUUAUUUUUGGAUAAUUGUUGGUAAUUUUGUAAGUAAUUAUUUGGUAAAAAUUGUCUAUUAGUGAAAAUUGUUAGAUUAAGUUUGAAAAUAAUUUUGUUAGUAAUAAUUUGUUGUUUUUUAUGGCAGUUAAAGUAGUGUAAUAUUGAUAAUGUCAUCUAGCGCAAAAGAAAGUUGAAAUUCACUGUAAAUAUAUAAUGAAUGUGGUGGCCAAAUUGAGCUAUUAACAUCAAGUGAGAAAGAAAUCAAAUCGUAAAAUUUAGAAAUGUAAAGUAUGCAUAAACUUUCAAUUGUUGUCUUCGUUACGUUUUGAUGUAGCAAAUAUUGAAAAUUUUUACUUUCAGAUCCUUCGUACGUCAUCAAAUAAUAAGGAUAAUGUGGUUGUAAAGUAUAAGGAGUGGUUGUUGUAAUACAUAAAAAAUUAAAAUAUAAUAUGAGAUUUUAAAAAUUAAAAAAUAUAAGCAUACACUAACAAAUUGUGAUUUUCAAGUGAAAAUUUAUUUGGUGCUAAUUAUAAGAAAAUGAUUGAUAAAUAUUGUGUAAACUACCUUAAGUUGGAUAUAUAAAUACCUACAUAAAUAUAUAUAUAUAUAUAAUUGGAUCGUGCUUGGUUUGUUUUAAAUAAUCUUUACCAAGUUUGUUUAUGGAAUUCUUUGGAACAUACAAUGAUCAAAUAAAUUUAAACGCGGUUGGUCAAUUUUUAUGUUUGAUAUGGUACUUUGCGUUGUUAUCUGAGGAAUCGCUCCGGCUUAGCUAUUUUAAAGCCGAUAUUUAAUAGCGCUUUGGACCAGUAGUCCGCAUCCUCGAGUGUCCAGCUUAUAUACCAAAAUCAAUUAUUUCUUUACCAAAUAAAAUUAAGUUGCUUUAAACGUGGUUGGUUCUUUUUAUUGUGCUAUUACCAGAUUUAGAUUAGAUUCUUUUAAAGGCUUGGGUACAUACACAGUACCAGAUCCGGAACCCGAAAAUGGUGCUCUGAAGGAAUGGAGGGAGAAGAGAAGAUUUACAACUGAGGAUCGAGAUCCGGUCUCUUUGCCUCAGAGGAACGUACAAAUUUUAUGGCAGAUCUGAUAAAGACCAGUCUGCAAUCAUGCUUUGGAAAGAAAAUUGCUUUAAAAAAUAAAUUGCUGGAAUUUAAAUGUGCAUAAAAUUAAAUUACAGAAAAGUAAAUUGCAGAAAUUUAAAGUACUGAAAUUUAAAUGUACAUGAAAUUGAAAUUGCUUUAAAUGAAUGGAAUUUAGAUGCUUUACAUUUAUGUCUUUUGAUCCGACAGCUUUAGGAAUGGGAAAUCGGAAAAUAGUCUGAAAACGAGGAACUUAGGGAAAAUUCCUUGAAUCCAGAAGAUUUUCUUUAAUCCGAGAGAGAGAGAGAUUUUAGAGAGAAGGAAGAGAAGGAGAGAGAGAAGUUCCAAACUGAAAUCAAAAACCUAAGGAGUCUCAGUCUUCCUCUUGGUUUAUAUACAAAACUUUGUGAACUGUUCACUGUAGCGGAGCUUUGAGUGCACAGUAAUCUUUGGAUCGUAGCUUUGAAUAGUAGGCUGACCGUAGCUUUGAACAGAAGACUACUUUGUACAAAUACUGAAAUACAUAAUACAACACGGGUGAAGAGACAUGUGCGCUCUCACUUGUGUCCAGGGGACCACCCGAAAUUUUUUUUUUUUUUAAGUAAAUAAUCAAAUAAUUAUUUACAAUGCUUUACUGGAGAGAAAAUGCCGAAACAGUCAUCUUCGUUUUCGUCUCCAAGAGAAAUGAAGGGCUCUUCAUCUUCAUCAUUAUCUUCAUCUUCAGAGGAGUCUGCAGCUGAAGACUUUGAUCUUGAGGCGAGGAGCUGUUCCAUGGCUUUGAAAUAUUCAUCUUCAGUUUUGGCGCUUGCCAAAAGAGACUGGGCUUUGGAUUUUUGAGUUAAGAAUGUGUGUUGGGCUUUAGAGGCGGUUAAGGAAGGUUGAAGGAGGCUUUUGGAGGAGAGCCAAUCUUUGAUCAUAUUAACAGUCAAUUUGGACUGUUCAUCAAAUUUUGACCACCAUUUGACUUUAAAGGUUCUUUGAAGGAUGACCUGGGAUUCUUGGGUGAGGAAACGGAGAUUCCACAUCCAGACCCAUGGUAGGAAGAAGUUUGCGCAAAAACAGAGAAAGGGGGGAAAUCUUUUCUCUGAGUCAGAGGGUAUAUAAUGGGCUUUAAAGAGGUUUAGGCAAUUUGUGGCGUUUGGUGUUAGGAUUUGUGGAGUUGGGCCAAAGAAAUUCCACCAAUGUUGAAACCAAUUUGGGAGGCUUUGAACGGUUAUUUUCGUGUUGAAGAAAAAUAACCAUGAAUGGGAUUUUUUAGGGUUUUGGAUAAAAAAAGGUGUUAUACCAGGCUUGUUGGUAAUCCCAGUAGGAAAAAGUCCGACAAUGUGGUAAACGGGUUUCAAAAUUUAAAGGGAAAGUUUUAAAAUUGUGAAGUAGAUCACCCCACUGGUUUGGGCUCAAUACUUUUAGGAUUGUGGCCGUGGAAUAAGCCGGCUCAGAAUGGGUUUUGUCAAGAAAGAAAUGUUUGAAUUUAACUGAUUCAGUUAUUUCCAAAAUGCUUUGAUAAUAAGACUGGGGUUUUGUCAAAUCCCAUGGUUUGAAAAACCAGCCUUUGGGAAAAAACUUUGAAAUGCUUUGAAAAUGAUCAGUAUGGUAAAAUCCAUCUUCCAUAGAAAGAAUGUUUUGAAAAUGGGUUUUAUCAAACCAAUCGGAGGUUUUCCUUGAAGGUGUUGGCUGAGAAAGCACAAUUUGGGAAGAUGAGCUUUCAGCAGAGACAACAACAUUUUGGGAAAAGGGUUUUGUAAUUUCUUGAGAAAUAGGUUUCUCAUCUUUAGUAGGGUUUUGGCUUUGAGAAAAGCUUUGUAGAGCAAGCAUAAGCUCAGGGGAUUUGGUAAUGGAACUCAUCCAUUGCUUUACUUGGUCAUCAGAGGAAAUAGAAUUGUAUUGGGCUUUAUGUUAUUCAACCAAUUCAAUCCAAGAUUUGAUGGGCAUGGCAGAAGAAAGCAAUUUUUCUUUGGAGGGAGUAGGUUGAGGUUCUUUAGAGGUUGCAUGUGAUUCAACAACUUUACCUUUGUCUUUCUUCUUCAACGGCAUUAUCUGUUUUGAAGAAAUUCUCUGGUUAGAAAAUCAGGAACAAAAUUUUUAUCUCCUUUAAUAAAUUCAAUAUCAAAAUCAAAAACACUUAAAAUAGCUUGCCAUCGUGCAAAAAUCUGUUUUGAUGCAAUAUUUUGAACAUCUUUUUCUAAAACAUGUUUUGCAGCUUUGCAAUCAAUUCUAAGUAAAAAUUUUUGAUUUAGUAAAUCACUUUGAAAUUUUGUAAUGCAUAAAACUAUGGAAAUGAUUUCUUUUUUGAUAGUAGAAUAGUUUUUCUGGCAAUCAUUCCAAUGUGCAGAAACAUACUGAACUAUCUGUUCUUUAUCAUUUUCUUUUUGUUUUAAAAUCCCUCCAUAACCUAUAUCAGAUGCAUCAGUCUCAACAAUCUUAGGUAAUGCAGGGUUAGCAAGAAAUAAACAUGGAAUGUUUUUUACAGAAUGCUUUAUUAAUCUAACAACUUUUGUAUGCUCAUCUGUCCAUGGAGCAGGUUUCUUUUUUAGUCUAUCAUGUAAUGGUCUAGACAUCCUAUUAAUGUUAGGACAGAAAUCAAGAACAUAAUUCAGACUUCCAAGAAAUCUUUGUAAUUGGGUUUUAUCGAGAAUUUUAUCAGGAAAUUUAUCAGCAAAUAAAAGAGAUCUCUCAAUCGGAGUAAUUGUUCCUUUAGAAAUAUGAUGACCAAGGAAUCUGACUUUUGUUUGAAAUAAAGAAACUUUAGAACUGGAAAUUGCCAAUCCAGCCUUUCUGGUGGCAAAAUAAAAAGUCUUUAAAUGUUUGAAAUGUUGAUCAAUUGAUUUGAAAAUAUCAAUACGUCAUCAAUAUAAACAAUACAAAAAUCAGAAUAAGGAUUAUAAAUAUCAUUCAUAAUUCUUUGAAAUUCUGAGGGUGCAUUCUUUAAACCAAAGGGCAUAACAGUCCAUUCAUACUGUCCAAAUGGAACAGUAAAAGCAGUUUUAUAACGGUCUUUUGGAUGAAUUUGAAUUUGCUAAAAACCAGAUUUCAUAUCAAAUUUCGAAAAAAUAAGAGCAGAACACAAUUUUUGGAGCAAAUCCUUUUUAUUAGGUAUGGGAUACCUAAUCCAUUUUAAAGCUUUAUUUAAGGGCUUAUAGUUAAUAACUAAUCUUGGGGUGCCUCUUUCAAUUUCAGAAUUUUUAUUCACAUAAAAGGCAGCACAAGACCACGGGGAUAUGGACUUUACAAUGAGUCCCUUUGACUCUAAAUCCUUUAUUUCAUUUUUACAAUGUUGUUCCAAUUCCAUAUUCAUCUGGAUUGGACGAGCUUUAGUGGGUAUUUGUUUUUCAUCAAAAGAACUUUCAUAAGGCAAAUCUACUAAAUGCUGUUUUCGAUUCCAAAAAGCAGAUGGUAAAUCGGCACAGAUUUCUUUUUCAAUAAGAUUCCUGAAAUCAGAGAUUUUUCUUUGAACAAAAUCACUUUGUAUUUGACUUUCAAUUCUUUGAAAAUUUAAAUCCUUUUGUAAAUAAAAUAAAUUAUCUUCUUUUGAAUGCAAUAUGGCAUUAACAUGAUUUUGAUAAAUAGAGCAGGCUUUAACAAUAUUUAAAUUUCUUGUUUUCGGUUUUUCAAUAAAUGGAAAAACAAGUCUUUGAUCUUUGGCUUUGAAAGAUAUACUGUUAUAAUUAACAGAAUAAGGAGUGAUAAGGUUAAUAAAAGGAGUUCCUAAAAUGACAGCAUGGUGUAUGUCAUUCGUAAGAACAAAGGAGGUUUUAAAUUCAAAACCAUUGUUAUGGAUUGAAGCUUCAACUUUAGAACUAACUUUGAGUUUUGAAUUAUUGGCGGCAGAAAGCCUUUCUUUUGUCUUUUCAUGAAAUCUUUUGGGGACGAUGUCCUCACGUAUGCAAUUUAAAUCGGCACCAGUGUCAAAAAGGGCAAUGGCGUCAAUAGCAAAAUCCUCAGAAAAAUUUAAAGAGAUUUUAAUUAAAUAUUUUCUGGUGGUGAUUUGCUUUAAAACAAAUAAAAAAUCAUUUGGUAUAGAUUCAAUAUUAUCAACAUUUUGAUCAUUAUUAUCACCAUCAGAAUCAACUUCUUUAUCAGAAUUGUCAUCCAAAUGCUUUUGUAAAAGGAGUUGGAUAGUAUCAGAAUCAAUUUUCUGUUUUUCUUUUAAAUCCUUGAUUUCAAGUUUAAUAUGCUUGAUUUCGUUUUGAAGAUCUUGGAUAGUGGGUGUUGACUUUUUUGUUUUCUUUUUAUCCAAAAUCUGAGUGAGAUCAUAAGAGCUCUUUUUAACAAUUGGGACUUUAGAAGUCUCGGCUUUGUUAAAAUCCAAAGUUUUCAAAAGUUUAUCAAGAUAUUCAUUUUGAAGAUUUGGAUCAGAAAUAUGCUUUACAAGUUCAAGAAAAGUUUCUUGGUCUUUGGUCAAAACAUUGAUUUUCUUUAAAAAUGAAUCGGAUUCAGAUUCACUACUGCUAGAUGCAGAGUCAUCUGAGUCAAAAAGCUCAUCAAUUUGAUAAGGGUCACUGUCUCCCGACAUGGAAGAUUCAGAGUCAGAAGACUCAACAAGAAGAUGGGCUAAUUUGGAAAGGAUUUCAUCAUCAAGAUCAAGCUCAUGAAGCUUUUUAUUCAUUCUGUAGUAUUUUGCAGUAUGACCUUUCAUGCCACAUUUAUGACAUAUAGCUUCUUUGUAAUUGAAAGGAGUGAAAGGAGGUUUUGGUUUGGCUUUGAACUCUUUUUUAGGGAACUUAGGCUUCUUAUAAGGCAUUGAAGGUUUCUUAUAAGGAAGUUCUCUAAAAUUACGAAAAGGUUUUCUAAAGUGUUUAGAUUUGUAAUGUUUCUUGCGAGGUUUAGUAGAACACUCACCAUUACAAUCUUUGGAAAUAGAAGUUUUAAAGGGGUCAUAAUUGAAUUGUUUACAGAAACCGCCUAAUUCUUGUUUAGACUUCUUAAGCUCCCACUUAAGUCGUUUCUGUAAUUUCAAAUCUUGACAAAUCUUUAAACCUUCUUUGUUGACAAAACUGACAAGUUCACCAUAGGUGAGGUCAUCAUAAGGAAUACGGUUGUCAUAAAGGGCUUUGAUUGAAUUUCUUACUUUUUCACCUAAAAGGGUAGGUAAUCCCGCAAGAAAUUUUUCUUUCCAAGUAGUAUGAUUUGCAUCAUCUCUUAGAAAUAGUCUGGUGAAAAAGGAGGUUUUGUAGCUUUGAAACUCACUAAGUUUCCUACAUCUUAAGUUAUGUAGUAGCUCAGCGUUUUUAUCACGGAGGUGUGAAGGGUCACCAAUGAAAUGGAGGAAAAUGAUCAAAAUGAGAGUAGCAACAGCAUCCUGGAUUGGAUUGUUGAACUCAUCAAGAAUAGGGGCUCCAUUUUCAUCGACUUGGAUAGAAUUUAGAAUGUCUAGUUGUUGCCGAUUAGUGAGAAGAUGAUCCCACCAACCCUUCAAUUGGCCAGUGAAACCGGCAAUGAGGAUUUCCGAUAUGGCACGAUCAGAAGUUCCUGCUUGGGUUUUAUAGGCAUUGGCUGCCAUGGUCAUUUGUUGCAACAAUCCUAGGAUAUUAUACUCGGACAUGCCGUCAAUAUUCCACUCAUAGACGGAAGAUGCAUUAUAUCGAGAUUGAUUUAAUGCACUUGGUCUAUUAUCUAUUGCUAGAUCCGGCGGAGUUUUGACAGUGGGAAGGGCUAAUUCCCAAUGGAUUUUGUUGGCUUUAGGAGUAGAAGGUUCUUCUUUGAAAGCUUCUAAGUCAGAAGAGGCUAUAGAACUCUGGUCAUCUAGAUCCAAUACUCCAAUCUUGCUAGAUUGGGGGGUAUCGGGGGCUAUCUGAAUUUUGCUAGACGAGGAAGAAGCAGCUUCUAUCCUAUCUAGUUGUUCUCUAAUGGCUUUAGUAAAAUCUGAUUUUGACUCUUGAACAAGCCUUUGGCUAGUUUUCGAAACCUGAAAAGGUUUGAAAAUAGGUUCCUUAAGCUUUUUGUCAAAAUCCAUUUUCGUUUGAACAGUAGCUGAUGAAACAGUAAUGGUUGACUUUUGGAAUUGGUUUUCUAUCCUAGUCAACUGCUUUCCGAUUGUAUUUAAGUUAGUAUUACAGAAAUUAUUAUGUUGGAUAAUACUACUUAAAUUCGUCUCGGAAUCAUUUGGUUUUGGAAUUUUGUAAGGUGAUGCUCUAAUUUCAAUAGGAGGCUCACCAUGAUUUAUGGUUAUACUCCUAAGAGGUGGGUGCUCAGAUUCGAUGGAUCUAUCACUCUCAGUAAGAUGCCACUCAGAGGUUUUCUUUCUAACAGUAAUAGGGUUUGACUCUUUGAAGGGAUAAGAGAUGUUGUUCUCAGAAGAAUAUAUUUCGAACCAAUCAAAAAACAAUAUAUGAACUUGAUGAAGAUUCACAAAUUCAUAAUAGAUAUAUAUAUAUUGGUAGUUUAAAUUAUGUUCUCGAUUUUUGCCCUAACAUCAAUAGGAUGUCUAAACCCUUGCAUGAUAGAUUGAAAAAGAAUCAUGUUGCAUGGUCAGACGAACAUACUAAUUUUCACCAAAUAUUUUCUGGUGGUGAUUUGUUUUAAAACAAACAAAAAAUCUUUUGGAACAGACUUAAUGUUCUCAACUUUUUGAUCAAUAUGAUCAUCAUCAUCAGGAGUUGACUCAUUGUCUGAGUUAUCCUGUAAUUGCUUUUGUAAAAGAAGUUGGAUAGUAUUAGAAUCACUUCUUUGUUUUUCUUUCAAAUCCUUUAUUUCAAGUUUAAUAUCCUUGAUCUCCUUUUGAAGAUCUUGGAUACUAGGGGUAGAUUUCUUUGUUUUCUUUUUGUCUAAAAUCUCAGUAAGAUCGUAAGAAUUCUUUUUAACAAUAGGAACUUUAGAAGUUUCUGCUUUGUUUGAAUCCAUGGUUUUCAAAAGUUUGUCAAGAUAUUCAUUUUGAAGAUUUGGAUCAGAAAUAUGUUUUACAAGUUCAAGGAAAAUCUCUUGGUCUUUAGUCAAAACAUUGAUUUUCUUUAAAUAAGAAUCCGAAUCAGAAUCGCUACUGCUAGAUGCAGAGGUAUCCGAAUCAAAUAACUCAUCGACCUGGAGGGGGUCACUAUCUCCCGACAUAGAAGACUCAGAGUCAGAAGACUCUACAAGAAGGGGGGCUAUUUUGGAAAGGAUGUCCUCAUUGAGGUCAAGCUCUUGGAGUCUCUUGUUCAUUCUGCAAAAUUUUGCAGUAUGGCCUUUCAUACCACAUUUGAAACAUGUGGCUUCUUUGAAAUUGAAUGGGGUUUUAGGUUUGGUUUUAAACUCUUUCUUUUUAGAGAAACUAUGUUUCUUAUAAGGCCUCGAAGGUUUCUUAUAAGGAAGUUUCCUAAAAUCAUGAAAGGGUUUCCUAUGGCUUUUAGACUUGUAAUGUUUCUUGUAAGGUUUUGAAGAACACUUACCAUUACAGUCUUUAGAAGUAGAAGUUUUAAAGGGGUUAUAAUUGAAUUGCUUACAGAAACCGCCUAAUUCUUGCUUAGAUUUCCUAAGCUCCCAUUUUAGACGUCUCUGUAGUUUCAAAUCUUGACAGAUCUUUAAACCUUCUUUAUUGACAAAACUGACUAGUUCACCAUAGGUGAGCUCGUCAUAAGGAACACGAUUGUCAUAAAGAGCUUUGAUGGAAUUUCUAACCUUUUCUCCCAAAAGGGUAGGUAAACCUGCAAGGAAUUUUUCUUUCCAAGUUACAUGAUUAGCAUCAUCCCUUAGGAAGAGUCUAGUAAAGAAAGUGGUUUUGUAAUCUUGGAAUUCACUGAGUUUUCUACAUCACUUAGUAAUCUUGGAAUUCACUGAGUUUUCUACAUCUUAUAUUCCACUCAUAGACAGAGGAUGCAUUAUAUCGAGCUUGAUUUAAUGCACUAGGCCUGUUGUCUAUAGUUGACUUAGAAGCCUUUACCGAAGAACCUGUUCCUAAAGCCAAUAAAAUCCAAUGGGAUUUAGCCUCCCUAUUUCCAAAUCUCCACCAAUAUAAUAUAUAUAAUUAAUAAUAUUUUUAGUUUUAUAUAUUCAAAAUAAAAGAAAAGUUUAACAUAAAAAUACAUAAACUUACCAUUCAUUCUGAUGCCGUUUUCUUUCUCUUGUGAUAAAUUAUUUUUGCUUGAACAAUGAGCAAAUCAGUUCACGUGGAGGAGAGAGCAAAAGAAGAAGUGGAGCGGAGUUCACACGAGACCAAAGUGAAAAGAAUAAAAAAAUGUGGGCCAUGUGGGGAAUGCUGAGAGAGCACUUGAAAAUUAUAAAAACAGAGAAUAUGCGUUUGGUGGUGCUUUUUUCAAAAAUAGUUUUUAUUAAUCAUUUACAUUAUAUUUAUAGUUAUAAAAUAAUUAUUUAGCUAAUACACACAAAUACAACAAAAUAAUUUAACCAAUUUUAAUAUAAAAAAAUUACAUGAUAAUAAAGUUUAAGAAUUAACAUUAAUUAAAAAAAGUUUGACAUUGUCAUUGUUUUUACACUAUAUAAUUAAGAUAUAUAUUACAACACAUGAUUUAAACAAAAUAAUUAUAAAAAAAUAUAUGAUACACAUUAUGCAUUACGUAUGUAAUCAUGCCACAUAAAAGCUGCAAUUCCAUCUCUUGUAGCAUUCAUCUCUGCGACACUUGCUGGAGAUAAAUCAAUAUUAGUAAGUGGCCUACUAGUGUCUCCUUCAUCGUUGGUAACCAAAUCUUACACAUCAAAGCCCCCAAAUAACCUAUUACUUGCAUUUUCUCGUUGAAUAAAAUUAUGCAAAGCGCAACAUGCAAUUGGAAUUAGACGUUGCUCACGUAAACUAUAAUUAUUAUCGUUUUUUGGUUUUGCAGGAUCUAGGUUGACGAGAGGACAAGGAACAUUUUUUUGUAACUUUUUUUGUAAGGAAUCAAAUAGAAUAAUAAACAUCAUUGUUGUAUCAUAACUUUAUCCUGAAGAAUUAAUAAAAUAUUUACAUUAAAAAAAAAGAAAGAAAGAAAAAAGAAAAAAAAAACUGGGCAGGCAGUAAUUUACAAACAUUACCAGAAGCAAAGGGAAUUAAUGGAAUUGUGGAUGGGACAACUAGUCGGCGAACGCGGUGAGGAAGUAAUAUGCGUGUAAUUAAUUAAACGCGGAUUUGUAAAAUUUGUCUAAAUUUGUAAUGACAGUGAGGUGAUGAAAACACAGCGGCAGCAGCUGCAGCAGCAGCGAAUGAAGCAUUGUUUUCGUACGCGGCAGAAAACGCAAAACCAAAAAAUGAUAAUAAUCAAAGCGGUGGAGGAUCUAGCAGCAGCAGCAGCAGGAUCUACCAGCAGCAGCAACGAACUGGAAGAGCAGCAGCAGCAGCAACGAACUGGAAGUAGCUGGAGCAAAUACCAAGUGAAGACAGCAGCUGCAACAGCCGAGAUCGAGCAGCAGCAGCAACGGAUUGACAGAUCGAGUUAGAGGGAGAGAUAUGUGUUGUAGAUCUAGAGAAAGAGGAAGAAGAGAGUGAUAGUGAGUGCGGAGAGUUUAGAUCGGGGACUUUGGGAGCUGUUGAUGAAGAGAACACGAGCCGAGAUUUGUUCUGUAGUUUGUUCUUGAGUGUGAACUGUAAUUCAUUUGAAAACGCAUUAAACACGUUUUCAACUUUACAACUGGAAAGCUGAAUCCGGAUUUUUUGUUUUAUAAUUUGUUUCUGAGUUUAGCCCACCAAACAUGUUUUUCAAUUGUAUUUAUAAAACAAAAACGAAAAUAGAGGCUUGGAAACGGUACCAAACAGGCCCUAAGAUUCUAUGUCUUGGGUAGUCGUAAUCAAAGAAAUUUCCACAUUCAGUUUCAAGAGUCGCAUUCAACAAGUGUUCAUUAAUUUUGAAUAUUGGUUUUGCGGACACGGCUAUGAUACAGGGACUUUGAGUCCCUGUAUCAUAGAGGGGGUCAAUUUGUUGACCCCCUAGUUGGUUGGCUGCCAUCUGGCAGCCAAACAACUUUUAUGACUGGCAGCAACUGGUUUUCCAGCCGGUUGCUACCAUUAAUAUGUAUUUUUUUAAAAUAAAUUAAAAUAUAAAAUAUAAAUAAAUUUUAAAAAAUUAUAAUAAUAAUAAGGGAGCUGCUACCUUACAUUAAACGUAAGGUACAGCCUUCUCACUAGUGGUGGAUUUUAAUGGAGCCCACAGAUAAAUUAUGUGAGUGGUUGUACCAUACGUUUUACGUAAGGUAGCAAAAUCCUAAUAAUAAAUAAAUAAGGAUAAGUAAAGUAAAAAUAGAAAAAAAUAUUUUUUAUUAAAAAUAAUUUAAAAAACAAAGUAAAAUGUGUGUUAACAUAAGGACAAAAAUUUAAUUUAUUUUCUAUGAAAUAUAUCUCAUAUUUAACGUUUCAAGUUUCAUAUUUUAUGUUUUAUGUUUCAUGUAAUAAUUUUUUAAAUACCCCAAAAUUUUUCUUUCUUGCCCCCGUUUCAUGUUUACGUUCUACGUUUCAUGUUUGUUGUUCUACGUUUCAUGUUUGAUGUUGUAAGUUUACUGUUACAAACAUAGUCAUAUUUUAUGUUCGUUGUUGCAUAUUUUAAGUAAGAUGUUUUAUGUUUGUUGUUUAAUGUUUCAUGUAAUAAUUUUUCAAAUACCCCAAAAUUUUUCUUUCUUGCCUCUGUUUCAUGUUUACGUUCUACGUUUCAUGUUUAUUGUUCUACGUUUCAUGUUUGAUGUUGUAAGUUUACUGUUACAGACAUAGUCAUAUUUUAUGUUCGUUGUUGCAUAUUUUAAGUAAGAUGUUUCAUGUUUGUUGUUUAAUGUUUCAUGUAAUAAUUUUUCAAAUACCCCAAAGUUUUUCUUUUUUGCCCACGUUUCAUGUUUACGUUCCAUGUUUCAUGUUUGCUGUUCUACGUUUCAUGUUUGAUGUUCUACGUUUCAUGUUUGACGUUGUAUGUUCACUGUUACGAGGUACUCAUAUUUUAUGUUCGCUGUUGCAUAUUUUACGUAAGAUGUUUCAUGUUUGUUGUUUAAUGUUUCAUGUAAUAAUUUUUCAAAUACCCCAAAGUUUUUCUUUUUUGCCCCCGUUUCAUGUUUACGUUCCACGUUUCAUGUUUACUGUUCUACGUUUCAUGUUUGACGUUGUAUGUUCACUGUUACGAGGUACUCAUAUUUUAUGUUCGCUGUUGCAUAUUUUAAGUAAGAUGUUUCAUGUUUGUUGUUUAAUGUUUCAUGUAAUAAUUUUUCAAAUACCCCAAAGUUUUUCUUUUUUGCCCCCGUUUUAUGUAUACGUUCCACGUUUCAUGUUUGUUGUUCUACGUUUCAUGUUUGAUGUUCUACGUUUCAUGUUUGACGUUGUAUGUUCACUGUUACGAGGUACUCAUAUUUUAUGUUCGUUGUUGCAUAUUUUAAGUAAGAUGUUUCAUGUUUGUUGUUUAAUGUUUCAUGUAAUAAUUUUUCAAAUACCCCAAAGUUUUUCUUUUUUGCCCCCGUUUCAUGUUUACGUUCCACGUUUCAUGUUUACUGUUCUACGUUUCAUGUUUGACGUUGUAUGUUCACUGUUACGAGGUACUCAUAUUUUAUGUUCGCUGUUGCAUAUUUUAAGUAAGAUAUUUCAUGUUUGUUGUUUAAUGUUUCAUGUAAUAAUUUUUCAAAUACCCCAAAGUUUUUCUUUUUUGCCCCUAUUUUAUGUUUACGUUCCACGUUUCAUGUUUGAUGUUCUACGUUUCAUGUUUGAUGUUCUACGUUUAAUGUUUGACGUUGUAUGUUCACUGUUAUAAGGUACUCAUAUUUUAUGUUCGUUGUUGCAUAUUUUAAGUAAGAUGUUUCAUGUUUGUUGUUUAAUGUUUCAUGUAAUAAUUUUUCAAAUACCCCAAAGUUUUUCUUUUUUGCCCCCGUUUCAUGUUUACGUUCCACGUUUCAUGUUUACUGUUCUACGUUUCAUGUUUGACGUUGUAUGUUCACUGUUACGAGGUACUCAUAUUUUAUGUUCGCUGUUGCAUAUUUUAAGUAAGAUGUUUCAUGUUUGUUGUUUAAUGUUUCAUGUAAUAAUUUUUCAAAUACCCCAAAGUUUUUCUUUUUUGCCCCCGUUUUAUGUAUACGUUCCACGUUUCAUGUUUGAUGUUCUACGUUUCAUGUUUGAUGUUCUACGUUUCAUGUUUGACGUUGUAUGUUCACUGUUACCGAGGUACUCAUAUUUUAUGUUCGAUGUUGCAUAUUUUAAGUAAGAUGUUUCAUGUUUGUUGUUUAAUGUUUGUUGGAAUGAUUAAUGUUGCAUCUUGAUUUAUGUUUUACUACAUGGCUUGAUAUGUUUGUUAUUAUAUGAAUCUAUACUUCAUGAAUUAGAUAGCUUGAUAUGCUUGUAAUUUUAUGAUUUUAUAUUUCAUGCAUUAAAUGGCUUAUUGAAAGGUUUUAAAUCUCAAAAUGAUUUAAAAUUAAUUAAUUUUAAAAGGCCAAAAAUAAAAUGGUGUGUGUAAUACAAGUAUAAGAGCUUGCCCAAUUAGAGACAAAAAGAUUUCCAAGUCUAAACCGGUAUACCACUUCUUCUCAUCCGGAAAACCGUUCUUCUUAUUGAUUUCUCUCGGGACAAAUUCCGGAUAACCGAAUUGUCCAAAUCGGUGAGCCGCAUUUUCUUUGGUUGCUCUCGGGUCAAUAUUCGGAUAACCGGAUUAUCAAUCCGGAAAACCGGAUUCGCGUAUGGCCUUCACUGGAUUUAACCAGAUAGCCGGUUCUGUAAAUCUGAAAAUCCGGAUUCGAGCUGCACUUUGGCAGCAUUCUGGAUUCAUUCGGCCAACCGGUUAAGGAAACCGGUAAGCCGGUUUUAACGUGCUAUCUUCUGGAUCCAACCGGCAAGCCGGUUUGUGAUAUCCGAAAAACCGGAUUCGAGUGAAGGACUUGCUGGAACAUAACCGGAUUUCUGGUUCAAGUAAAACCGGCAAGCCGUUUACGGCUUGUAAGCUUCUGGUCACAACCGGCUAGCCGGUUAGUGAAAUCCGGCUAGCCGGUUAGUGAAAUCCGGCUAGCCGGUUAGUGAAAUCCAGCAAGCCGGUUUCGGGACCUAUUUCUACUAUUCAUCUUCUUCCUCUCAUUCGGCAUUCCGGAUCUCCCUCUCUCUCUAAAAACCGUUUACUCCUCACUCAAUCUCACUCCAAAAUCCAUCAUUUUCUUCCUUUUUGGCAUCAAAUUGAGUCUCAAAAAUCAUUCCCCAUCACUUCAUUUACUCAAAAUCAUCCGUAAAAUCCAUUUUUAACAUCCAAAACUCUAGAUCUCAAAUUCAUCUUAGGGUUUAACCGAACUUUUCUCAAUUUGAUGCAGCACCACCACCACCAAUCGAGAGAAGCUGAGACACAGCAGCAGUCGAUUCUGGUUGAAGAACCAUGAUAGAGAGGGAGACAGCUGUGACGAAUCGUGGUUGAAGAACUAUGAUAGAGAGAGAUAUGUGAAUUUCGAUAGGGAUAAGGAGAUUAGGCUUGGGUUUUGUUUUGCAAUUUCUUUUCUGAUAUAAUUUGUGAUUCAUCUGAGAACGUGUUUAACACGAGAGCGAGAGCGGGAGCGGGAACAUGAGCGUGAGCAGGAGCGCGAGAGUGAGCAGGAGCGCGAGAGUGAGCAAGAGCGAGAGCGAGGAAGAAUGUGGGGAUGGAGAGGGAAAAAGAUGAGGAUUUUCUGGUUCAAUGUUCCCGGGGAGGGAAGAACAAGGGGGUGGGGGAGAAAAAGAGGGAGAUGAAAAUGCUUUUCUUCCGGUUGCCCUUCUUUUUUCGCUUUUAUUCACGUUUUAUUUCUUUUCUUUCAAAUUAAAACCCCAACCGUUGGAUUCAAAUAAACUGAAUCCAAUGGCUCAAUGGCAGCCCCUACACCAUACAGGGGAUUUUAGGCCCUGCAUGGUAGCCGUGUCCUGGUUUUGCUAUUUAGACAAAAACCUCUUGAAGGGUGGGCUAAGACAGAGAAGCCUCCGUUUUAAAAAAUAAAUAAAUAACAAAAUUUAUUUGAAUUUUAUUUGUUUGUACAAUUAGUUCAACCAAAUGCUUCAUUUUGAUUAAUAACAAACUAACUUUUAAUAUUUUGCUUGGUGAAUGGUGAUAAAGAGCUUCACGUACUAAUAUAUUUGGUUGGUUUAGAUUUUAGAUUAAACAUAUUAAAAAGUUAAAGGCAAGAAAAUAAUUUUUAUUCAUCAAUUAUACUCUAUUUUCCAAUUAUAUAAAUACACAAAAAGCUAAAGGUAAAAAAAUAAACGAAGGAGGGUCAUAAAUAUCUACUGGGAUUGGCGGUAGUUAUCAUUAUUACAGACCCAUUUGGGGCAGCUGUGCUGCCACCACGCAGCUGCUCCCCAGGCCAAUUCUAGGGGAAUAUUCCCCUAAAGUUGGCCUGGGGAGCAGCUGCGCGGUGGCAGCGCAGCUGCCCCAAACGGGUCCUACAUUUCAAAAGCCACCGUGCUUGUCAAAAGUCAUAAUUACAUGUCAUCAUUACAUGUUUGCAUGCCAAUAAAACAUUUUUAAGUUAUGCUAUUUACCUUGGGUCAAACCUCAAAACUAAUACAAAUAAUGCCGUUUCGUGCAUUUUUUUUUCAUCAUCAUCAAAAUAACGCCGUUUGCUGAGCUUCUCAUCUUUGUAUCAUUUAUUUCACACAAGUCUUUGAAAACUGAAAUUAAUUCAGCAUUCAUUGAGGAUACCGAUUCCAUGCAAUACAUCCUAACACAUAUCAGAUUGAUAGAUUCUACAACUUGAGAGGAAAAUCUGCUUUAAGAACAUAACUUGGUAGUGCCCUGCUUGGAAGAUAACGCCUACUUAACAACCAAAGAUACCAGGACAACCAAAUGAAAUGGAGUGAAAUUAACCCAAGAACCAUCAACUAAUCAGAAUCUUGGAUCAAUUGAAUUCGCCAAGCACUUUCCGUUCACUUAAGCCAACAAGAAAUUGGGUUAAGUCUUCAAGAAACAGAGCCGCUUGAAUGAACACUCAAGGCACCAACAAUUUGAACAAUCACACACUUUCUCAACAAUCAAGCCACCAACAAUUUCAACAAUCACAUACUUUCUCAACAUAUUAGCAUCCACAAACACACUCACCGUAUCAUUCAUCUCCUCUUUCAUUGCCUCCACAAUAACCCCUUUGAGUCCCUUAUCACUUUGUUCCUCAAAAGCCACCCAAUCCUCUGUUAUCCUCACUUUGCACCUUCUUGAUUCUACCAAUUAACGCUCGCACCAUCAGCCUCAACCCACCUUCAAUUUUCUCAAUCUGCUCAAUCUGUGAGAGUAGAGAAGGGUUUGCGAAGAAGAUGAAGAAAGAGACUUGUGAAUGAGAGGGAGCGAGGAGGGUUUUUUACAGAGAAGCAAGGAUCUUGGCAUCUUUGAAGAAGAUGAUGAUUUCAGCUUAAUGUGAGCAAGCUCACAUGAAAAAGAGACAGGGAAGGGAAACGAUGAAGUGAAGGAAAAAGGAUGAAGGGAAGGGGAAAUAUUUGACAAGUAAAACGAACUGUUUUUGGCUUUGUUGUAAAACAGCGCGUUUUCAUUUUAAUCAAAACGGUGAGUUUCAAUUCGGGGCUUGAGUUGGGGCGUGAUUAAGGGGAAAUAGCUUUUUUCCAACAUUUUUUCCAUUUUCCAGCAUAUGUUUGGAAUUGCAUUAGUCUCUCGAGAGAUCAAUUCUUAAUAAUUAAUUAAUGUCAUCAUUGGUGAUCCAUCUUGGGAUUUUCAUAAUCCGCUUUCAAACUUUAGAUCGAACAAAAUUUUUUUGUAAUUAAAAAAAGUUAAAAAAUUUUUGUGGGAUAGUUUAAUAAUAUUUUUGUAUAAAAAAAAGAUGCUUACAUCCUUAAGAUUUAGAAAAAUAGUCAUAGAACAUUCUAAAUUUUUAAUAAACAACAUCAAAACUCUCACACCCUUUAACAUUAUAAACCCAAAAAAUUAACCCAAAAAUUUUAUAAUAAAUAAAAAUAUGGCAUUAAAAUAAAUAUAAUAAUACAUAUUUAAAAUAAUUUUACAAUCUAUUAGAUUUAUUUUAUUAUAUUAAAAAAUUAAUAAUAAAUAAAAUCAUAAUAUUAAAAUAAAUAAAUAAAUUUAAAUUAUUUUGAAUAUUAUAUAAAAGUUAAUUUUAAUAAUAUUAAUAGGGAGAUAUUUAAUUUUAAUAAUAUUAACAAGGAGAUAUUUUGUUAAUUGUAAAAUCUAUUUAACCAAAGAUUUAUUUAAAAUCUUAUAAUAAAUACAAACAUAUUAUUAAAAUAAAUAUAAAAAUUUAAAAUUUUAAUAUUACUUUAAAUGUUAAAAAUAAUUUAAUAUUAUUAAUAUACUAGAAAGAUUAUAUUAUUUAUAUUACAUAUGUAUUAAUUAAAAACCUUUAAAGUUAAUCUUAUAAUUAUUUCAUUGAAAGGAUAUUAUAAUUUGAAAAUAAUUUUAGUGUUCUUUUUUUUAAAUUUAAGAGUUUUCGUGAUUAUUUUUUGAAAUUUUGAAAGUAUAGGUAUCUUUUUAUCCUUUAGCAUAUGAUGAAAUAAUAUGUUUUAUUAUUAAAAAAAUUAAUAUUAAAUUUAGUAGAUUUGAUUAUAAAACUUAUUACGUGUCCAUUUUAAAAUCUCAGCACUUCAAUAUAUUGAGAUAUUAGGAUAAUUACGCACAAUUAGUUCUCAUGAAAAAGAUCAAGGAUCGGGUAGACAAAAUGUGUGGUAGUUAUGGUGUAAUACCCCAAUUCUCUUAAGGGUAUUCAAGUCUUUUUAAUUUUAGUGAUCUAUUUUUUUACCCUAGUGUAAAUAGAAUAGUAUGCCUUUCUCAUUAUAAGAGAGAGGGAAAGGGAGAUCGGUUGAGAAAAAAAAAACAACAGGAAAAAGAGAGAGAGAGAGAGAGAGAGAGAGAUGGAGAGAAAAGAGAGAAAAAGAAAAAAAGAAGAAAAUCUUCUUCAGUUCUUCUUCUUAGUUCUGCCAUAAGCAACACAUGAGGUGCAGUUGUUAUUGUUGGGAAAAGUUUUGGCGGUAUAUUUUAAUUAUUGGUUUCUAUUUAAUUGUUGUGGAGAAGCAUGAUUGCAAUAGAAGUAGAAACUUAAGAUUUUACAGAAAUAUGCUGACAGUGAAUUAUUACGAAAAUCAUAGUAAUUUGUACAAAUUGAUUUUGAUUCUGAUUUUUGGGUAUGUUAAACUAGAUAUCGUCUAGAAUAUUUUGAAACUUGUUUCAAGUUAAUCGGAUAAGAUUUCAAUUAAUUAUGAUUUUUCAAAGUCAAGUCUGAAAACUUAGAAAUUUAUGAUUUCAGUGAAUAACGUGAAUUACGAAAUUAUUUUUACCAUAACCAGACUUCUUCAAAAAUUAUGAAAUUUGGACCAAUGAUUUUUAUAUAUGUCUAGUAUGAUUCUGGAAAUUUUCAUGAUUUUCUAAUAAAGUAAUAAAUUGUUUUGUAUUUUUAAAGCAAGUGUAUUCAAAAUAGAAAAUUGUUUGACAAUAUUGAUGAUGUCUGAAACGUCAAUUAUUUUCAAUAGUUUUUGAAGGAAUUAUGUUAUGAACUUUUUGUCAAUGAACUUUCAAUGUGUCAGCAUAUGGUCUGUAAAAUUUGAAAUUCUUCCAAUAAGAGAAUAAUUUAUUAAAAAUCAGAGAAAUAUGGACUGUUAUAUUUUGAGGGCCGAAAAUUAAGGACAUUUGAGGUUGAGCUUAGGAGUUAUUCAAAUUGAGAUAUUUGAGGACAUUAGAGUUUAUAAUUGAGAUUUGAUUAUAUCUUAUGAGGAUUUAUUGAUAAUUUUAAGUUGAUGAUAUCAGUACGCAUUUGUUACAUGAGGAUGCCAAGAGGUAAGUAAACUAGACUUUUAAACGAAUCAUAAUAAACAAUAUAUAUGUUUGACUUGUGUGAAAAACCUAUUUUGAUAAGUACGAAUAUGGACUUAUAUGUCUCAUGUGUUUAUGUGACGUGUUCUUAUGUAUUGGGCAUGAUUAUGUACAUGGGCAUAUAUAUGUGUGAUGGUUAAUUGGCAUGAGCACGAAAAUGUAUUGAGUUUUCUAUGAAUGAGAAAGUAGAUUUUAACAAAUGAGAUUUCUGUUUUAUGAGAUUUUGCAUUAGGGGCCACCUCUUGAAGUUGUGUGGAGGCCACCUCUUGAGACUAUGCAGGGGCCAUCUCUUGAGGGCCAAAGCGCCGCAAAGUGCCACGCAUGGUGCAAAGUGCCACGCACAGCACAAAGUGCCGCAUUGCAGGAUAUGUAUUUUAUUGAAAGAAAAUAAGAAAGUUUGAAAGCGAUAUAAAGAGAUUUUUAUGAAUUUGUUUUACAGUAUUUCCAAAGGAUCAUGACAUAUCAUCCAUUUGCAUUAUAUAUAAGUAUGGAUGUAUUUUGGUAUAAGAAAAAUUAAUUUGCUUAUUGAGUUUUGUACUCAUUAUAGUUUAUUAUGAUUCAGUUUCCAGAAGUCAGGAAUGACUCGUAAUGAGUGAGAAGGUAGACUUGAAUUGAGGAUGAUAGAUGGUUUGACAAAAUUUCCAGAUUAUUCCGCUGCCUAUUAUAUUUGAGGUUUGAAUUAUUUUCGAUUGUAAAAGGUUAUUUAAAUUCAUAUGUGAGUUGUGGUCAGAUUUGUCCUCAGAGUUCAGGUUGGGGUGUUACAUAUGGUAUACACGUCACCUCAAUUAUUGGAAGUGAAAAAAUCUAGCAAAAGUCUGCUGAAAAUGGGUCAGGUAACAUAUGUGGUGGAAGGAGUUAGAUGAAAAUGGUGGUUAAAAGUUAAAAUCAGGGUCCGCUUAUAAGUAAAAGGCCAAGUUGAGGCACCAUUAUUUCAAAAUUCCAUGGGCAAUCAUCUCUUUUCUCUCUACUUGUGAGAGGAGCAUAAGUCUAAUUAAUUUAUUUUUUCUAGUUUCACUUGAUUUAUAUUUUCUUAUUUAAGUAGUAUUUCUUUUCUUGUAAGAAAUCAUAAGUUUACUAGGAUCAAGAUUAAUUACAACUAAUAGUGCACUUUCCUGUUUCCACUAUUCCAUUCCCUUGGCUUUGCGUCGCUUCGCUUCAUCUAAAAAAUCAAACACAUGCAAGUCUCUCAGUCUGGUCCGACCAUCCAAAAUCGAACGAACCCGCUUUCAAAUCGAGAACUCUUUAAUUCAUUUCCAUAAUUCAAAGACUGCUUUUUAAAAGAUAAAAGGUGAUUUCAAAAAAGGGACAUAAUCACGCUAUGUAGCAUCUGAUUUUAGAUGUUGGUCCAAUAAGGAUGUGAACUAGUAGCUUUCGCCUUCAAGAAAGAGUAACAACAUAAAGGUGACAGCAAAAAUAAAAUGCAGAGAGGUCAUACGUUGCGCCACUGAGCUUAAAGAAACUGGAAUCGAGUUCAUGAAGGCUGAGGGAGAAAGCUUGUUUGAUAUAAAGUUUAAAAACGGAGUAAUGAAAAUCCAAAAAUUGAACAUUAAUGACGAAACGAAACCUUUCUUGAGAAAUCUCUUAGUCUGAGCAGUUCUCUUCCAUGGAUGUACUAUAUCAAAACUCUGUGACUGAUUAUAUGAAUCUCAUGGAAUGCCUCACUGCCUCUCGAAUAAAUGUGGGAUUAAUUUGUCAGCAUGGAAUUAUCGAUAAUUGCAUUUGUGAUGAUCAAGUGAUUGCCAAUAUUUUCAAUACGAUUGGUUCCUUCCUGGUGCUUUCGCGUGAGAGCUGCUACUCGCAUAUAUUCUGCAAUGUGAAUGAGCAUUGUAGCAGGCGUUGGAAGGAUGGAUGGCCAACUUGAGACACACGUAUUUUAACAAUCCAUGGUCAUUUAUUUCCUUUUUGGCUGCUUUUUUUCCUGCUUCAACUCUCUCUUUUACAAACUUUGUCCGCAAUUCAUGCUUAUUUUAAAUAAUGAAAUGACAACUCUCUCUUUUACAAGUUCUCUUUUACAAACUUUUAAUAUUUUGCUUGAUGAAUGGUGAUAAAGAGCUUCACGUACUAAUAUAUUUGGUUGAUUUAGAUUUUAAAUUAUACAUAUUAAAAAGUUAAAGGUAAGAAAAUAAUUUUUAUUCAUCAAUUAUCCUUAUUUUCCAAUGAUCCAAAUACACAAAAAGCUAAAGGCAAAAAAAUAAACGGAGGGUCAUAAAUAUCUGGUGGGAAUGUGGGAUAGGUGGUAGUUAUCUUAAGCUUGUCAAAAGUCGUAAUUGCAUGUCAUCAUUGCAUUUUUGCUUGUACUCCAAUCUUGCCUGCCAAUAAAACAUUUUUUCCAUUUUCCAGCAUAUGUUUGGAAUUGCAUUAGUCUCUCUCGAGAUCAAUUCUUAAUAAUUAAUUAAUGUCAUCAUCAAUGAUCCGUCUUCGGAUUUUCAUAAUCCGGUUUCAAACUUUAGAUCGAACAAAAAUUUUUUGCAAUUAAAAAAAAGUUAAAAAAUUUUUGUGGGAUAUAUAGUUUAAUAAUAUUUUUGUAUAAAAAAAAGAUACUUACAUCCUUAAAAUUUUAAAAAAUAGUCAUCGAUCAUCCCAAAUUUUUAAUAAAGAACAUCUAAACUCUCACUUGACCAUGGCCCUUUAACAUUAUAAAUCCAAAAAAUUGACCUCAAAAUUUUUAUAAUAAAUAAAAAUAUGGCAUUAAAAUAAAUAUAAUAAUAUAUAUUUAAAAUAAUUUUACAAUCUAUUAGAUUUAUUUUAUUAUAUUAAAAAAAUUUAAUAAUAAAUAAAAGCAUAAUACUAAAAUAAAUAAAUAAAUUUAAAUUAUUUUGAAUUUUAUAUAAAAGUUAAUUUUAAUAAUAUUAAUGGGGAGAUAUUUUGUUAAUUGUAACAUCUAUUUAACCAAAUCUUUAUUUAAAAUCUUUAUAAUAAAUACAAACAUAUUAUUAAAAUAAAUAUAAUAAUUUAAAAUUUUAAUAUUACUUUAAAUAUUAAAAAUAAUUUAAUAUUAUUAAUCUACUAGAAAGAUUAUAUUAUUUUAUUUUACAUCUGUAUUAAUUAAAAACCUUUAAGGUUAAUCUUAUAAUUAUUUUAUUCAAAUGAUAUUAUAAUUAAAAAAUAAUUUUAGUGUUUUUUUUUUUAAUUUAAGAGUUUUCAUGAUUAUUAUUUUGAAAUUUUGAAAGUGUAGGGGUCUUUUUAUCCUUUGGCAUAAAACAAAAUAAUAUAUUUUGUUAUAAAAAAUUUUAAAAUUAAUGUUAGAUAAAUAAGAGCACCAGCUCAACAUCCCCACCCCGGGGUGGAUCACCUCAGCCGAACGGUACGAGCAAAACACUGAUAACGAGCCUUCUACAAACAUGAGCCGACCAGAGACGUGUACCAACCAGAGGAAUAUACCGACCAGAGACAUAUACCGAGCCGAUACUCAUUCCCCAAAGAGCGGGGACACGAUCUCACAGAAUCACGAUAGUUGCGCUUUUCCCAGAACCGUUGAGGGAGAAGCGAGACCCCACGUUUGCCCACAAUGUAGCAGUUAGAGUUCCAUGAGGGGCUGCGACUACCCGAAAAAGGGGGGAUGAAAUGUGAACGGAAACGUGGGACAACGGCUAUAAAAGAGGAAGAAAUCGAUGAAGAAAGGGACAGAAAAACUGAGAGAAGGGAAAACGCUGCCAAAUUGUAACCAGGCAAUUUUUUUUAUACAAAACUUUGAAUAGAUUAUAUAUCAUCCUUAAAUCCAAAUUGCACUGUUUUUCCGUAAACACCCUGUGCUAACUUAGGCAUCAGAGGGUUUACACCGGCAAAACCACCGGCGUCUCUGAUCCGUUUUGGUGAACGCAGGUCUAGUGAGAGAAAGAAAGGCGAUUCUAACCCCAGUGAUUUGAGCAACAAUUGAAACAAGAAGAAAUCGACACCCUCACUAUUGAUAACAUAAGCGUUGGUGUAAAGAUCUGGUCGGGUAAAGGGCGAACAGAUUCCAGCAUCAACAAUUAAAUUUAGUAGGUUUGAUUAUGAAACUUAUUAUGUGUCCAUUUUAAAAUCUCGGUACUUCAGUAUGUUGAGAUAUUAGGACAAUUACGCACAAUUGCUUCUCAAGGAAAAGAUCAAGGAUCGGGUAGACAAAAUGUGUGGUAGUUAUGGUGUACAAGUCACCUCAAUUAUUGGGAGUGGAAAAUCUAGCAAAAGUCUGCUGAAAAUGGGUUACGUAACAUAUGCGGCGGAAGGAGUUUGAUGAAAAUGGUGGUGAAAACUUAAAAUCAGGGUCCGCUUAUAAGUGAAAGGCCAAGUUGAGGCACCAUUAUUUCAAAAAUCCAUGGGCAAUCAUCUCUUUUCUCUCCACUUGUGGAGGAGCAUAAGUCUAAUUAAUUUAUUUUUUCUAAUUUCACUAGGAUUGAUUUAUAUUUUCUUGUUUAAGUAAUAAUUUUUUUUUAAAGAAAUCAUAAGUUUACUAGGAUCAAGAUUAAUUACAACUAGUAUAAAUAGAUUUUUUAUUAUUAUUUUUUUAAAAAACUUUAUCAAUAAUAUUCAACUUAUUUUUUUUAAUUGAGAUAUUUUUCUCCUUGUGAAAACCUUCAUUCUUAAACUUAAAGAAAAUACAUACACUAGAAAGUCUAGAAUGAUAAUAUUACUUCCACACCACGUCAAAAUAGUAUAAAACUUUUCUCUGUGUGAUGUAGGGUAUUCCUAACCAUCAAUCUCCUCCCAUGUAAAAUCCUUCCUCCAUCAUCUGUUAACUCCACCAAUUCCAUUAAUUUAAAAAAAAAAAUCAGCAAAACCAUAAGCCACCAUCACAGCCACCAUACAUAGCCGCUACUACCAAUCAUUGUCCUUUUCAUUGAUUUCCAUUACCAUCCAAUUCAGUCAAGAGCCGCCGACCGCAACCCAGCCAACAUACCCUCCUUUUGCACUGUAGUCACCAAAACCACCAUCAAACUACCACGCUCGUCGGCACUUGAUUCGCUGUAAAUUUGCCGCAAUUCAUCAACUUUUCCCUAUAUAAAUUAUUCCCCAUUCUCAACUCUCUCUUUCCAGUCUAAACUUGCUUCCAGCCACUGCUCCAUUCACCGGAAACUGAAACCAAGACUCCUACCGCCGCUUUGAUUCAAUUUUCCUAUCAACUUACAAUGAUCAAAUCAUUGCCACCAUCACACUUAGCAAUCUCAAAUCUUCCAGAUCCACCCAUCCUUAUCUAAUUUUCCAAUCACCAUUUUCGCUAAACUCAUCUUUUGUUUGUUUCUAAUUUUUUACCCAGUACCUUUUUUUUAAUUAUAAUUUUGCCCUUUGAUUUUCUGUUCUUAUAAAAAAAAAACCGAAAAAAGGGAAGAAAGAUAGUUUCUAAAGAAGGCAUUACUUAAUUUGAAGAUUGAAUAAUAAAGAGUUUAGAGCAAGUCCAAUAAUCACAAGAUCAUGUUGGAGAGGCAUUGAAAGAAUCAGCGAAAGCUUUGCAGUCAAUGCAAAUCUAAAUUGAGAGGCAAUGAAAGUUUCGAUGGGAGCAUUCCAAAACACAUUACUUGGUGUGCAACAAAAGUCAAUAGAGCUUAGAUUUAGCCAAAGAAGUAACCAGCAAGCUAAGAAUGCUGAAAAUGUUAAUCUAAGCAAUAAUUUUAGUGGCCAAAAGAAGACCAUCAGAGCUAAGGAACAAGUAGCUCUAGUAAAAAUACUAAAGCUACUCUACCCCUUCCAAGUUCAGAUGAUUUAGAUGAAGAUGAAAUAGAAGCUGAUGAACAACGAGAAUGCAUCAAAAUGACUACCACAUUAAAAUUGACCUUCCAUCAUUCAAUUGACAACUAGGCAGUGAAUAGUUAUGUGAUGGUUAUCUAAUGUUGAAUGAUUCUUUGAAACAAUGAACUUUUCGUAAUCAAAGAACGUCAAGAUAGUAGCAUAUAAACUUAAAGGAGCUGCUGUAGUUUGGUGGGACAAUCUACAAACUUCUCAUGUACUACAAGGAAAGAGAAAGAUCGAGACAUGGCAUUGCAUGCAUCACUUGCUAAGAGAAUGAUUUUUGCUUCUUGGCAACUUGUAGGCCUUGUUUCCUGAGUACAACAAUUGUCAUCAAGGAGCUAAGACAGUUAAUGACUAUGCCCUCAAAUAUUAGAGGCUUAUGGAACGGAAUAAUCUCCAUGAACAGAAGCUUGGUAGAUUCUUGGAUAGUUUAGGCCCUGAAAUAAAGAUCAACUUGGGUUGCAACUGUUUCAUGCACUGCAAAAUGUCAUUCGAUUAGCUAAAAAGAUAAAAAUGCAACUUGAUAAAUGAAAGGCUUAUAACCAGGGGACUUCACACUCAUUCACUCCUGGUUAACAAUAGAAGCAGAGGUAUGGAGUUAACAAGGGAAAAGCCCCUAUGGAAAACUUUGUGAAGCCAACCCAGAAUCGUAAUGGACAAAACACAUGGCCAACAAAAGAUCAUCGAAGUACUAGUAAUCUUAGUAGUAAUCUUUCUGCAGUUCUUCUUUCUUUGUAUCUCAUGAGUUCUUUGUCAUGACUGUCAUGCAAGAGGAAACAAAAGAUUUAAUUGGGAUGAUUUAUGCAUUCUUUGAAUAUGCACUUCCUGGUACAGGCUAUGAACACAACUCUGAGCAUUCCACCAAAAUCAAACACCUAGUGGAAUUUAUUCACCUGAACUAGUAGCUUUCGCCUUCAAGAAAGAGUAACAACAUAAAGGUGACAGCAAAAAUAAAAUGCAGAGAGGUCAUACGUUGCGCCACUGAGCUUAAAGAAACUGAAAUCAAGUUCAUGAAGGCUGAGGGAGAAAGCUUGUUUGAUAUAAAGUUUAAAAACGGAGUAAUGAAAAUCCAAAAAUUGAACAUUAAUGAAGAAACGAAACCUUUCUUGAGAAAUCUCUUAGUCUAUGAGCAGUUCUCUUCCAUGGAUGUACUAUAUCAAAACUCUGUGACUGAUUAUAUGAAUCUCAUGGAAUGCUUCAGUGCCUCUCGAAUAGAUGUGGGAUUAAUUUGUCAGCAUGGAAUUAUCGAUAAUUGCAUUUGUGAUGAUCCAGUGAUUGCCAAUAUUUUCAAUACGAUUGGUUCCUUCCUGGUGCUUUCGCUUGAGAGCUGCUACUCGCAUAUAUUCUGCAAUGUGAAUGAGCAGUGUAGCAGGCGUUGGAAGGAUGGAUGGCCAACUUGAGACACACGUAUUUUAACAAUCCAUGGUCAUUUAUUUCCUUUUUGGCUGCUAUUUUUCCUGCUUCAACUCUCUCUUUUACAAACUUUGUCCGCAAUUCGUGCUUAUUUUAAAUAAUGAAAUGACAAGUUCUGUUUCAAUAUGGCCGAGUUGGGCUGGUAACAAUGAUAGAAAUGUCAAUUUGAGAGUUGUAGUUGCCAUGCUUAUUGUAUAAUACACAACUUGGUUGCUUGCUACCUAUUUCUUAGUUCACAUCAAGUGUCGUGUGUGGACAUAAAAGGUCGAUUCUAGGAUUUGAUAAUAACAAUACUUGUGAAACUGAUAUAAAAAUUCAUUCUUUUAACAAUAGAAAAGAGUUUGCGGUGGUAAAAACAUUUCGAGGAAAUUUACACUAUCAAGACAUUCAUUCUUUUAGUGUAUUCUACGAGCUUUGCAUAUUUAAUUUGUUGUUUGGUAGAGGAAUGUCACGGAAUAGAGAAAAGUUCCACCCCACCUUUAGUCUGAUAAUAUGCCUCUCUGUUAAGUCUUUAGGUGUUUUAUUUUUAGCAUAUAUAUAGCAGAAGUCCAGCAGCUAACUCGUCUUUUACACUGAACAAAUAUUAAUUAGCUGAGAAAAAAUCAUAAGUUGAACAAAUAUUAAUUAGUUGAGAACUAAUCAUGAGUAGUAUUAGGGUCCAUUUGGGAUUGAGGUUGGUCAGAGUGUUUGGUAAACACUAAUCCAGGUACAUUGGUGAAAUCUUGAUCGUUGUACGACUUUUUCAUGAAUAAAUUCCUUAAAUUAGCACAACAUUGCCCAUAAAGUUAUGCACACACCAAAUCAUGGUUCCUAUUCUAAUCUUAAUUAGACUGCAAGUAAUUCUGCUGUGUGCUCUGGCUUGUAGCAUUUUUUUGGUCUUUAAUUUCGAAAGGUGAUAAUUAUUGUUAAUUCUUGAAUCACAUUUCAGGCAAGAUGGCCAGGUAUGGAUGGAAUUCAGGGACCAAUAUUGUCGGGAACUGCUUUUACAUGAAGAGAGAAGCAUUAAAUGGCAAGUUUUCACAGAAAGGUUUGCCCAUUUUCCUUUUUGCUGCAUUUCUGCAUUUUCAACGAAAGUAGUAUGGCAGUUUAUGCAGACUUUCUACAUUUUUUUUUUUUCAGUUUCAGAGGAUUUGGUGGCAAAUUGAAAAGGAAACAGAACAAGGUUACAACGUGCUACUGCAUGAUUUAUUUAUAUCUGGAUACUAUUUUAAUGAAAAUAUGAAUCUUAGCUAAGCAUUGUUCUCAAAUGGAAUGCUAGUGAGAAAAGACAGCUGUUAGGUUCAUCAAGUCAACAAUUCUAUUAAUCUUUGCUAUACAUCAUUGCAUAUAUUUGCAAAUGACUUAAGUGACAAAAUCAGUCAGCUGUAAAUUGUUAAAAGUGUUCGUGUUUGAUUCAGAGCUACAUCAUCUGAAAGAAUCCUUUGGUCCUUCAAAUGAGUUGAUCAUCUCUCUUCAUCGUAGCAACCAACAUAAAACCAUUGACAAUGGUAUCUUGUCUAGCACACUGCAACAGGAAGCAGAAUUUUUAGCUUCUUACAACUAUGAGAAGAACAGUGUGUGGCGAAAACAGGCAAGUAACCUCUGUGAAAACACUGGGAUGCCGUUAAUAUAAUUAAGUAGAUACUAAUUAUAUCAUUGAAUCUUUGCUUUUGGUUUCAAACCAGAUAGGAUACUUGUACAAAUCUCUGAUAGAAGAUUAUUUUAGCGGAUUCAUUUUGCACUGAAAAGGGUGGAAAUCCAUCUCUUGCAAUCCAUCACGGUCAGCAUUCUUAGGAAGUGCUGCAUCAAGUUUGAAUGACACAUUGGUUCAAGGCACAAGAUGGAACUGCGGUUUGCUUGAAGUCACUUUCUCAAAGUGCUCCCCUCCUCUUUAUGGGCUAUCAAGAAUGCCUUUGCUUCAAACAAUGUGCUAUAGCUAUUAUGCUUUGCAGCCAUUCUAUUCCUUGCAGUCAUGGUGUUUAGCUACUGUGACUCAGCUGUGUCUCAUAAAUGGAAUUUCCUUGUACCCG
rnacentral:lncRNA from 1 species